UUCUUUUUUUUUUCUUUUUCUGAGUUGUCUUUUUGCUUCUUCUAUUUUUUUUUUGUCUGCUAUACUUCAGUUGAUGACAGAAGACUUGCUGCAUGAUCUUGCUCAGUAUAAAACGGAUAAAAAGUACCGUACCCAUAGAAAAGCCAUCUCAGCAGCAUCUGCUUCCCUCAUAGCAUUGUUCAGAGAGGUAGCAGAAGUAUUUGAUUUGUUAAUUGGAACAAAAUAAUCAGUGUAUGUGGUUAACCAGUAAUUACAUUAUUGUAAUUUCAGAUCAACCCUUUGCUACUAGUGAAAAAAGACCGUGGCCGUCCUGGAGGUCACAUUGCCAGACCUAAAAAGUAUGGAGAAAUCAAUGUCUUCAGUAAUGUUCCCAAUGUUGAGUUAUUGCAAGAAAGUGAUGAUGAUGAAGUGGCGUUGCCUGGGACUGAUGAUAUCGGACAGGAGCUGAUAACUGAGGACGAGGCUGAAGAAGAUUCUAAUGAUGGUGAUGAUAUGAAUAACAACACUGAAGAUGAUAGUGAUAUUGAUGACGUGGCAUUGCCUGGCAGUGAUGAUAUCGAACAGGAGCUGAUAACUGAGGACGAGGCUGAAGAAGAUUCUAAUGAUGGUGAUGAUAUGAAUAACACUGAAGAUGAUAGUGAUAUUGAUGACGUGGCGUUGCCUGGCAGUGAUGACAUCGAACAGGAGCUGAUACCUGGUGGAACUAAUGACGAGGCUGAAGAAGAUUCUAAUGAUGGUGAUGAUAUGCAUAGCACUGAAAUUGAUACUUUGGUCAGUGGGGAUGAAGAGAAUGACAGUGAUGAAGCCGAGACUGAUUGGGAAAACGAAGAAGAUGAUGGAGAAGCUUCUGUGGAGGGUAGUGGAAACAGAGAGAAAGCAGAGGGGAAGAAAAGGAAGUUAGUAGAUUUUGAUGCGAGUUUCCUCGCUGCUGAUACAAGCCUACGAGCACUAAAGAGAUGCGCAGAAGCAAAGAGGGAACAGCCAUCUUUUGCAGAAAGAGAUGGCAUACUUUCCAAUGAGGACUUCCAAAAAAUCAAAGAACUUAAGGUAUACAUACAUAUAUGCGAAAGAGACUUCCUCUGUUUGGUAAAGAAGUCCAACUUUGUUGAUGAUGUCUUGUGUCACAUGCAGGCAAAGAAGGAUGCGAAAAUUGCAUUGGCUCGAAAAGGAUUCAAAGUUCCGGAUUCUGAUAAGCUAAGUAAGAAGCUGGUCAAUCCAGCCAAACUUGAAGUAAGCUGUUACUACUAUGAGAAGCUCCAUUUGAGUCGCAAAAUGUUUUGGCGAUGUUAACUGAAUUUUCUUACUCUUUCCACAGGCUCACAUAAGGCAUAAACUAACAAAAGAAGAAAGGCUGGAGUUAGUUAAAGCGGGUAGGGAGGACCGAGGGAAAUACAAAUCCAAGACUGCCAUCAAGCAGAAGAAGGUAUCCGUUUUUGUUUCCGUUGUUACGAGAAAUGGUUAUUUACAAGCAUAGGCUGUGUGUUGUUUGAUGAUCCAAUAAUUGUGUGAAAUGAAAACGCAGACUGGAGGAUCGAGCAAUAGACAGAAGGAGCACAAGAAGAAUAUGCCUCUCGCUGCAGUAAGAUCAAAGGCUGGGAAAUCAAAGCGAGUCAAGAAAAAGAAGAAUAGCCUCAGCGGAAGCCAGUUCAGAGGAAGGAAAGCUUGGAAGUGAAAUUGAGCCAAACUCAUAUCCUUCUUUUUAUAUCUCCCUUUAUUAAAUUAUUUAACAUACUGGAAAAUUAAAUCAUUAUUACAAAACUUCCUGAUUUCUCAUAUUGGACUUGAUGAUAUGCUGUUUGAUGAACUUUACUUGUCCAUGAUAUUAUUAUCAUCACAGUUCACUUUCUCAUAUAGUGUUGUUGUGGAAUAUGGAUCAUAGAAACUUGUUUUAUUGGAUUCCAAAUAUCAAAUACAUAAUAAACAAACAACCAGAUGAAGAAGAAGCCACGAACGAUUCACUUAAAACUCUCUCUCCUCACUUCUUCUAACAAUGACCUCUGGAACGUUUCUGAUUGAGAUAGAUUAAUCCAAAUUUCACAUUUCAUCAAGUAAACAUGGAGAUGGUUGCGUAAUUUUCGAUUUGAGGCAAUCAAUAAAUUUGGCCGACAUAGUAUAUUAGGCUCGAAAUGGUACAUUGGGCCAAAGUCCAGCUCCGAAGACCAUUAACAAGAACACGUAUAAAGAAAAUGAAUCUAGGGUUUCAUCAUAUACUGGUAAUCUGAUUGCGGAAUGGGGGAUCAAGUUGACAACAAGUUCACAUGGGUGAUUAAGAAUGUCUCCUCUUUGCCGUCUGAGAAGAUAUAUUCUGAUUCAUUCGUGAUCGGUGGCUGUAGUUGGUAAGAAGAAGACAAGUUUUUUUUUUUGUUUCCCCUACAAUUUUAGGUAACGUUAUCAUUGAUUUUUGCUUGCAGGCGUCUUGUGGCGACAUAUUUCAAGAGAAAUAUAUUUAAUGAUUCUCUGUCUCUGUCUCUGUCACUGGCGGUGGCUGAUGCUGAGUAUUUGCCUUUUGGAUGGAAAAGACACGCAGAAUUUUCUUUUACUAUAGUGAAUCAAAUUUCUGAAGAAUUCUCCCAAGUGCAAGAUAUCUUUCGUGAUUUUACAGAAACACAAGAGUGGUUUGAUCACAGGACUCUUGCCUGUGGUUGUGCAUCCAGUUUUCCCCUUGCAAAACUGGAUGCCAAAUAUGGUGGAUUUAUACUGAAUGAACAAGUCAAGAUUGUUGCAGAGGUGAAAGUUCUUGUAGCUAUUGGCAAGUCUGAUGAGGCAGACAAACCUCUGAAAAAGAUCAAGAUUGAGUAUUAUGAUUUCCUCAGCGACACUCCACCAGUAGUGGAAGAACCCACUAUUGUCUACGGGUUUCCAGUUGUUUCUCCAGAGGUGGAAUUAGUGAGCCGCAUUUUUGAAAAUCACCCGGACGUUGCAUCAGGGUUAAGAAAGGACAUGAGCCCAUAUACGAAGAGAGCACACAUGUAUUCCCUAAUCUGCGUGAUUGAGACUCUGAACAAGCCACUUCAAGAAAUCUCAAGGUCUUAUUUGGUUGAUGCACGUGAUAGACUGGUGUUCCUCAGAAGCGCUGGACUUCUGUUGGAUUGGGUGGAGAAGAAGCUGGAUGAGGUGACCGAGAAGAUGGACAAAGAGGAACAAGGACAAGGAGAUAUUUGAAGGCAACACUGUUGGCAGCCAGACUGAUGCUUCUGUCUUCUCCGUUUCAAACUCUUAUUCUCUUUUUCUUUCUAGUUUCAUUUUGAAUGUGCUUGGUUUUACUUUAUUUACAAAACACACUCUGCUUUUGAAAAUCGGACACUUUUGGUUUGAUGACUAUCUCUAGGUUUUCUCUAUUGCACAGUGUGUUUCUUUACGGAAAAGUAAACAGUCGUUGAUCGGGAGAUUUAUUCGAAUUUCGAAGCCGAUUGCGACACUAUUUUCACCAUGAACUCCACCUCUUCCUCUCUGAUAUUCCUAUAAGAUUGAACCUUUUUAAGGCUAAAAAGCUCGAUAACAGCGAGCUUUCCCAUUUCUCGCCAAUGCUCGCCGUACUGCGAGAAACUGAUGUCUUCCCAGGGCCGGCGCAGAGGGCAAGCCACCGAAGCCACCGAUUAGAGCCUCAAAAUUUGAAGGCUUUUUUACCUAAAAAUUUGUUAAGUUUUCUUAUAUACAAUAAUUUUUGUAGGGCCUUUUAAAAAUAUUGUGCGCUUUUAGAGACAACUAAAACAUUCUUUUUAAUGGUAAAAAUCUAAUUUAAAAUAAUUUUUUUCAUGGGCUUUGAUUUGCUUAGGACACCCAAAUUCACCGGGCCGGUACUGUGUCUUCCGUAGGAGAGUUUACCCGUGCCGACCGUUCUUGGUCGGCUGCAACAUCCAAGGUCAUGGGUUUUGAGAUCUUCUUCAGCUGCUUCACUCGAGGAGAUCACAACCAUUGGAACAAACCCGCGAUGAAGAAGUACCACGGGUCCGUAUUUGAUGGAGAGAUGAUGAAAGCAUCGGUGAGGUAAUCCUGCGAAAUUGGUGUAAGUUUCCGAUGAUCGGGAGACUUGGAUGGCACGGAGGAAGAUUCCAUUUAGGGUUUCUCUUACCUUUGUCAUGAAAAAGAUUAAUGACACAAAAGUAAGAAGCAAUAAACCCCAUAAAACGCAGAGAAAGAAAGCCAUUUUCUUUUCUCUUCCUCUUUUUUUUUUUUUAGAGAUGAGAUUAGUUUAGUCUUGUAUAUAAGAUAAGUGAAAGAAGUUGUUGAUGUUAACUUUGUAAAUCAAGUGGCUGAGACAAAAGUUACAAUUUUGGUCGGUUUGAAUAUAUAGUAGGAAGCAAUAGGAAUGUGUCCAAACGAAAUAGAGACUCAUCCAUCUUAAAAUUUUCGCCGACUUUGUUUGUGUGGUGGUAGCAUAAAUGAGGAGAUAAAGAGUACGAGGAGGAGAAUUCUGGAGUGUAUAAGUUCCAUCAAAAACUAGUUUGAUAAAUUUUUAUUUCUGUUUGAAUUUGUUUAUUUUUUCCUAUAAGAAGAAAAAAUUCUCUUGAAAUCAUAAUUUUAUUUUAUUUUUAUUUUAAAGAAUUUUACAUAAAUAUCUUCGCUAUAUAUAAAAAAAAUUUGAUUGCGUCUCCAUUGAUGUUAAAUUGUCAAAAAGAUGGCUAUUAGUAUGUUUAUAAAAACAUAUUUAUGGUUAAAAACUUAAAAUAUGCAUAUGCAUCUACAUCAACAUUUUUUUUUUGAUCAUCUGAAAUUAUAUUAGAAUUUUCCAAACAUUUUUUUUGAUCAUCUGAAAUCUACAUCAACAUAUGACCACUCUUUUCUUUCAAACAUAACAAAUUAACACAUUAGUUGAAUAAAUGUUAAAAACAGUUAAAAAUUAUGUUUGUCUGUUUAACCUGUGAUUAGAUCUUAAAUGAUUGAACGAUUCCUUUUUUUCUUUAGUCAGUAAUUUGUGUUAGUUAUGGUUGAAGUGUUUGAUGAUCUAAAUGAUUAAUUAGAGUACCCAGCCCUUUAGAGCAAGUCCAAUGGUGUUUCUUAGUGAAGUUAUUAAGAAAUCCUUAGCUUAAAAAAUCAUUAAAAUUAAUGAAAACAAGAUAUUAGAGUUUCUUAGCUUAAGAAUUGUUUCUGUUUUAGGAUUUGUUAAGGACUCAUGUUGUGAUGCCUUGUGAUUGGGUGAGGAAAAAAUAUAGAAGCCAAAAAUAAAUUUAUCUCUUGUUUUUUUUAUUCUGCGACACUUAUUUUUCUGUCUUGCAAAAAUUUAUCUUUUUUUUUUUUUGUUUAAAUGCUAAAGUCUUGUUUUGUGAAUGGGGUUUUACUAAGACUCAGAUUCAUAUAUGGCAUAAAUUUGGCACGAAUUAAGCUAAAGACUAAUCGUUAUUCCGGUUUUUUAUUUAUAUUUUUUAAUAUGCUUUUCUGUUUUGUAUGUUUAAAAUUUAAGAAAAUUGUAAUAAUUAUUAAGUUUUAUCAAAUAAAAAAGUUUAUAAUUUUCAUUUUAAAAAUAAUUUUUUUUUUAAGAAACGUAUUUAAGGACUCUACCAUUGGACAAUGAAAAUUUUAAAGAUUCAACACAAACUCUUAAUUUUGAAAUUAUCACAAUUUAUAAUAAAAAAAUGUUUAAGAGUCCUUUUAAAGACUUUACCAUUGGACUUGCUCUUACAUAAUAUCAGAAUUAAAUUAGUUUUAAGUAUUGGAUUUUGAUCGCCACUUGGCCCACUUCAAAAAAUAAUUGUGUUAUAAUCUUUUACGACAAUACCAAGUGAAAUCAGUUGUGAAAGAAAAAAAAGCUAAUAAUGUUAAAACCGUGAAGAUUACCAGUAAAAUAGUUAGUUAAUCAUAUCUGGUUUCACUGAUUUUUAUUAUAAUUCAUUACUUUGCCUUUUUAAAAUUAAAAACGAAAAAAACAGUAAUGAGUUUUGGAUAAGGUUGAAGGGGUUUCUGGUGUUAUAACGUCCACCCAACUUUCGGUACAUCGCCAGCAUCGGAUUUAGCGGACCCCGAAACGUCCGGCUAAAGUCCAAUCCAUUAUCGCCACGUCAUCAAAUAACGUGUUAAACCGUCAAAAGUCGCCGUUACCGUCCUUCCCUCGGAUACUAAUUUUAGUACACAAAGAGAGAGAGACUUAAAAUUACUGUCAGUCAUACGUAUAUAUAUACGUAUUCGUAUAUCACGAUUAUUUUUCUUUUUUUAAUAAUAAAAAACUAUCUUUCUUUUUUAUCUUCUUCUUCUCCGAUCGGUGGAGUCUUGUCUCUCUAUCUUUAUAUUACUUGUUAACCUGCGCUUGCUUAUUGGAGCUCUUAACCUACGCGGAUUCUCCGAUUUAUGACAGCUGAACUCGAUUUGGUGGAUAAACAAGAGAGAUCGAGGUCCAAGAGGCCAAGGCUAGAAGAAUUCUACCGGAACAAAUGGAGGUUCUGGUAGGUUCUACGUUUAGGGAUCGGAGCAGCGUCACGGCGCAGGAUCAGGGUGUACCGGCGGCUCUGUCUAACCGGAUUGGUUUAAGGAGAUGUGGUAGAUCUCCGCCGGAGAGUUCGUCGUCUGUUGGAGAAAGCAGCGAAAACGAGGAAGAAGAAGACGACGCCGUUUCAUCAUCACAAGGAAGAUGGCUUAAUUCGUUUAGUUCAUCUUUGGAAGAUUCUCUUCCGAUUAAGUACGUUUCUUUAUUAAUUAUCUUCUAAAUAAUCAAAUUAUUCUUUAUUUACACCUGAAUAUAUUCGAUUUAAACCUCAACAAAAAAAAAAAAAAAAAAAAAACUAUUAAACCUUUUUUUAUUACAUGAAUAAAGUAAAUCACUAGAUUCUCUAUGUUCUUGUGUUUGAUUUUAUUGUUUGAUGAACCUGUAAGAUGUUGAAAUUGUUUCUCAGUUUAAAUGUUAUUACAUGUUGAGUGUUGGUUUAGUCAUUGUGGUUAGGUUUUGUUUUUUUUUUUGUUACAGGAGAGGAUUAUCAAACCAUUACAUAGGGAAAUCGAAAUCGUUUGGGAAUUUAAUGGAAGCGAGCAACGCAAAGGAUUUGGUGAAAGUGGAAAGUCCAUUGAACAAGAGAAGGAGAUUGCUUAUUGCUAAUAAGCUAAGAAGAAGAUCAUCCUUGUCUUCUUUCAGCAUCUACACCAAGAUUAACCCUAAUUCCAUGCCUUUACUUGCAUUGCAAGAAUCUGACCAAGAAGAUCACAAACUCAAUGAUGAUGAAACUAGUAAGCUGAAAGAGAAGAGGAUGAAGAUGACGAACCAUAGAGAUUUUAUGGUUCCUCAGACUAAGAGCUGUUUUAGCUUAACUAGUUUUCAAGAUGAUGAUCGAUGAUCAUUUUUGUUUCUCUUCUUCUUUUGUCAAGAGUAGAUAAAGUUUCGUUGACAAUAAGUUGGAGGAAGAUUUGACAGAAACCAAUUUAUGUUUAAUUGUAAUAAAUUAAUUUGACUGUUUGUAUAUUUUGGUAAUUCUCAACGAAGUAGACUUUUUUUUUUUUUUUUUAUCACACUUCUUGUCAACCUUGACAUUCGUUAAGCCCAUGAAAUUGGUUCUAUAAAAAAACUUAAGUCCACAUGACUAAGUCGUGAAUUUUGACGGCCUAGUCGUAAGUUCAAUAGAGGCUGCGUAGUCACUAGGAACAUGUUUAGGGUCGUUUUUCCCAAGUACAUAUUUUUUCUCUACCAAGUUGAAUUUAUUUAUGUACGAUUCAUCUUAGAUAUAGAAUUUGGAUAGAAGUUGAAUAUGUGUCUCACUGAGACGACCCACUGUCGAAAUACAAUAAUAUGUACACAUUAAAAAAAAAAAAUUGCCUACAAAGUAAUUAGAAAACAUAAAACUGAGAGUUUUGUUUUUGUUAAGUAUACUUUUUUCUUUCAAUUUACGUAAUAGCAUAGGAGAAACUGAUCUUUUCAAAUUUCGUAGGUACUUCAGAAAUGUGUCUAUGAAAUCGAUCAUAUCAAUUUUUAAAAAUUUAAGAAUGAUCAAUGAUGUCUAAAUGAUAUUUUAAUACUUCACAAUAAACUUAUGGUUCUAUAGUAUAUUUUUAGAAAACAAAACCAAGAGGUUAUAUUCUUAUCCAAUAUCUUCACAUUUUCAACUCUUCAACAAUUUCGCUUUCAGUAUUAUUGUGUAACCCAAUGCUUAUUUAUACUCAACUUACAUUUUUUAAUUCCAAAACCAGUAGUCCACCUACUAACAUCACGUUUUAAAAACAAGGCAAAAUUCUGCACCUGUCAAAAAAAACAAAACAAACCAACCAAUAAAACUUUUUGUCUUGCUAUAUAAACCACAGCAUCACUUAUGCAAAGUAGAAAAUAUCCGAAAACAAGUCUUAAGUAAGUCAAACAAAGAAAAAAAUGGAUCUCUUCUUGAUUAUAGCCGCUUUGGUAGCGGCUGCAGCCUUCUUUUUCCUCCGUAGCACGACCAAGAAAUCUCUCCGGCUACCUCCGGGACCAAAAGGUCUUCCUAUUAUAGGAAACCUUCACCAGAUGGAGAAAUUCAAUCCACAACACUUCCUUUUCCGUCUCUCCAAGCUAUACGGCCCGAUUUUCACGAUGAAAAUCGGAGGCCGUCGCCUAGCGGUGAUCUCCUCGGCCGAGCUAGCCAAGGAGCUACUCAAGACUCAAGACCUCAACUUCACCGCUCGUCCUCUCUUGAAAGGGCAACAAACGAUGUCGUAUCAAGGCCGUGAGCUUGGUUUCGGACAGUACACCGCCUACUACCGUGAGAUGAGGAAGAUGUGUAUGGUGAACCUCUUCAGCCCAAACCGUGUCGCAAGUUUCAGACCGGUUAGAGAAGAAGAGUGUCAACGGAUGAUGGACAAGAUCUACAAAGCCGCUGAUCAAUCAGGCACCGUUGAUCUAAGUGAGCUUCUCUUGUCUUUCACCAACUGUGUCGUAUGUAGACAAGCUUUUGGGAAACGGUACAAUGAGUACGGUACAGAGAUGAAGAGAUUCAUAGACAUCUUGUACGAGACGCAAGCACUUUUGGGCACUCUGUUUUUCUCCGACCUCUUUCCUUAUUUUGGAUUCCUUGACAACCUCACUGGUCUUAGUGCGCGUCUCAAGAAAGCUUUUAAGGAGCUUGACACUUACCUUCAAGAACUUCUAGACGAGACUCUUGACCCUAACCGCCCUAAACAAGAAACAGAGAGUUUCAUUGAUCUAUUGAUGCAGAUCUACAAAGACCAACCUUUCUCCAUCAAAUUUACUCACGAAAAUGUCAAGGCCAUGAUAUUGGUUCGUAACUCUAUCUAACCCUUAUUGCAAUUCUCUAAGUUAGUUAAAUCUCAAUAUUAUUAUUAUUAACUCGGUUUGUUUCUAAUUUUAUCAGGAUAUUGUUGUGCCGGGAACUGACACGGCGGCUGCGGUGGUGGUAUGGGCCAUGACUUACCUUAUAAAGUACCCUGAAGCGAUGAAGAAAGCUCAAGACGAAGUGAGGAAUGUGAUAGGCGACAAAGGAUAUGUCUCUGAAGAAGACAUACCUAAUCUCCCUUACCUCAAGGCAGUCAUCAAGGAGUCUCUUCGGCUCGAACCAGUCAUCCCCAUUCUUCUACACAGAGAAACUAUCGCAGACGCAAAGAUCGGUGGCUAUGAUAUCCCGGCCAAGACCAUCAUUCAGGUGAACGCGUGGGCGGUUUCUCGUGACACAGCCGCGUGGGGAGACAACCCUAAUGAGUUCAUUCCAGAGAGGUUCAUGAAGGAGCACAAAGGAGUGGACUUCAAGGGCCAAGAUUUUGAGCUCCUACCUUUCGGGUCGGGCCGGAGAAUGUGCCCGGCCAUGCAUCUUGGGAUCGCAAUGGUAGAGAUACCUUUCGCUAACCUUCUCUACAAAUUUGACUGGAGUCUACCUAAAGGGAUUAAACCAGAGGAUAUAAAGAUGGACGUCAUGACUGGACUCGCUAUGCACAAGAAAGAACACCUCGUCCUUGCACCAACGAAACACAUCUGAUGCUAUAUAUAUCAUUAGGACGUUUCUGCUGGUAGAUAUGGCGUGAUCAAUGGUUGUUUUUCAUUGCAAUAUUUUCGUUUUAAUGAGUACUCUGUUGGUGUUAAAUUUUUUUUAAAAAAAUAUGAGUACUCUGUUUUUUUGGGUCUGUUCUCAUUUUUUAACCAAUAAUGUAUUGAUGUGCUUCUUUUUUUUUAAGUCUAGAAAACAAAGUAUUUCCACUGGUUUAAAAUAUUUCUUGAUAUCUUAUCUACGAUGUCGAUAACAUAUGAUUAGAUUACAUGCUGCUAAAAAACAAUAAUAUGAAAUCGAAAGGAAGUUUCGUUGACAACGAUAAGUAGUGGAAGAUUUGACUUUGGACAACAUGUUGCCAAAAGAUUAGGACUAUCUUUAGAAUACUAAGUUUAUCAUUCUGAAAAAUUGAAAAGCAAUCCUAGAAUUCAAGUUGUAUGACUUUAUUCCUUGUUUUCUCAUUUUUGCAGACGAUCAAAAAACUCAAAAAAGCAUAUGAAAGAAAAGAGAAAUACGCUUUUGACUUAUAAAAACAGAGAACAACGAAAGGCCAGAAAAGCAAAGAAGAGUAGAGAUCAAUCUGAAAUGACGCGAUUCUAAAUUGGAGCAAACCCAUGCUUUGAAAUCUACUAUAUCAUAAAGCAUUUCAAGAAAAUCACGGCUUAAUCUCCUCAACAAACGACUUUAUAGAAGAAGAAGAAAGCAUUACCAAUAAAACAAAAUCGUCUAGUAGUGUAAAUAAAGCACAGCCGUAUGAGGAAGAAUCCAUCGGUGCCAUACCGGAAAAUAUACCGGUUAAGGAAGAAUGAUAACAAAUUGAAAUGACUCUUUACAUAUCCUCAACCGCCUCCUCUCUCCUUGUAGUAAACAGAUUCAACCAACAAAAAAUUGCUCAAGAGAGAAACGUACGUAGUCUAAACCUGUUACCUUGCACGCCACCAUUCCAUGCCUGUGAGAAAUCAUCGGUAUGGUACCGGAAAUUAGACCAUUUAAGGUUUAAGGAUUCAAACAUUUAUGGAUUGGAUUGAGAAAUAGAAUACGUUUUGAGAAGAUUAGCUAACCUCAGCUACUACCCUUUUGUUUGAGGGUGAUUUUGUCCCCAAGACUUAGAGCAAUCCCUUGCGUCUUGCUCCUUAUCCUUAUGUAGCCACUCAAUGCUCCAUCGGUUUGCUUCUCAAUACUCACAUUCACAAGAGCAUCUUCACCAAACACACUUUUUGCAUAUAAGUUUGCUGCAAGGAAUCCACAUUCACCUUCUAUUGCGGAUCUGCAAAUAGGGAAGCAUUGAUUAGUAAGAAGAGUUUUUAGUUUCUAUCUGAUGAAAGAAGAAUUUGAACUUACGGGGCAGUGAGACAUUUCAUGUUUGUGGAUUUGAUAAUGUGGUCGAGGAAUUCUCUUUCGUUUUGAAUUGUGGUGUUCACAGCAACCUGACAUGAAGAAUACAACAGGGAAUGGUUAUACCAAACUCGAACAAACAAACAAAAAAAGAAGCUACAACUAUAAAAGGUUUCGGUAAAUUACCUUGUUUUCCCAUUCAAACUCUGCCCACAUAGUUCUGAAAGCAACCUCUGAGCACACAGCAGGGGAGAUAUAGUCCAUGAUAUCAAUGUGUAUGUCGUUAAGAACCACGACGUUUCGCUCCAUUACAUUUGAUGUCUCAUAGACGAUGUUCCCAAAUAUGACUCCCGUCUCUGUGGACGAGACCUUGAUGUUUGCUUUUAUCUGCAUGCUUCUUUCAGGUGCCAGACUAUAGUUCUGAGGACGCUCAACAAGUUUGAGAUCACCCAUGGUUGCUAACUCCAAGCACAGAUUCUGAAGGGUUUCCUUGGUACGGUUGAUUACUGUAACUUCGAGCGCAAUAUCAUAAUGGUGUACCGUCACAUAUGCUUCAGCAUAGACUGGGUCACUGAAUCCCGUGAGCUGAAGAAUGCGGUUAAGUUUGUUAGCAUCGUUCUCGUCCUUGGUGAAUUCUCCAGUUGCACGCUUUAGGUCAUCUUGUACCUGGUCUUCCAACUCAAGUUGACUCAUUCCCUGAAAGAAACUUAUCAUCAGUACUUUCAACUACAGCGAAAUAAAUAAACAUAGCAUGCCACUAUCAACUUCCAUUGUCUUUCUUUGAAACUGAGAAUAUGAAAAAAUAUCGGAUAUGAACUGUAAGAUAAAGUAGACACCAACGAUAUCAGAACUAAACAGAUUGCCAAGGAAAACUCGUAAGGAAAAAAAAACACAAUAAAGCAAGGGCAAGCUUAGAAAGUAAUAUUACCUUCCGACUCUUUAGAUGGAAGAAGUCAAUUAGAUCAUCAGGUUGAGCAUGAGUUGUUUGGGUCUUUGCCUUUAGUUCCUCCAUCUCUCUAAGCUGUUUUUCAGAAAUCAUCUUGACAAAACUCUGGCGACAGUAUUCCAACCAUAUCUUUUUCAUCUCAUCAUUCCUAUGGCAAAGCAAUUUUAUGCACAACACAAUCCUCUCAUACGAAUCAUUAUCAAUAGGGUGUGGAGAAACAGGAGAUUGCCCAAGUUGCAACAUAGAAACCAUAAUCAGCAAAGCCUGUGUGACUGUCUUGUUUACUUCAGUUUUAGAAGACUGAACCUCUUCCAACCUAAGAACAAGUUUAGUCAACGUGCAAGCAACCACUGCUCCAAGGAAAAAAUCACCAGUUAGAAGCAGUGCUCUCAAAUUUCCAGAAGUCAGUGAUCCUUGAACAACUGUAGGUGAGGAGAAUGUGGUUCAGAGGCUGCGCUUUGGGUAGCAUAAGUUCCAUCAGCAAGAAUCACUGGCUUUCUAGAGGACACCAUGGCAGAAGAGGUAGGCUGAAUCUUCUUCGAUGUCUCAGUUGGCUCAGACUCCUCAGAAACAGAGUAAAAUGGUAAAUCGCCAAGGCAUUGUUUAAUGGUUGAAAUGCCACUCUCAACUUCUGAAAGUGAUAGGCAAUACUCCCCAAUAAUCCAAAGUGCACAAGGGCAGACCUUUCCUGCGCGGAUCUGAUAGAACGUGUCCAACAACCUGGUUAUGAUUGAAACUCUUAACUUCGGAUUUGUUUCUAUUAUCUCUCUAACAAAAACAACCACGUCAAGAGCUGAAGCCACAUUGCUAUCUCCCAAGAAAUCCAUUAGAAGAUGGACUACUGUACUUGCAACUUCGGGGAACUUCACUGCACAAGCAUGGAUUGCUUGAAUAAGCAUUUGUCUGUACUCCCCAUUCUUCUCAAGUUCUCCACUCUGUGUCUUCACAACUUCUUUCUUCAACAUUUGAACGACCUCAUUAAUAUUAUGAUGGGUAAUCAAGUCAAGGGCAAUGUCAAGUGUCUUCCUGCGGAUAUCAAGGUUUGGGCUUGAGAGUGCUCUGAGCACAUCUAUUAUCAACUCAACCAUGAUAUCUCUGUGCAAUGUCUUAAGCUCAUACAACCGAUCAAGCAAUAUUAGCUUCACAUUGUUGUCACUCUGAGAAAGAAGAAGUUGGCAGUAGGUGUUGGCAGCAGCCCUAAUAGCAGUCGGGGCAGAAGAGAGAGAAACAAGUGUCCCAGCACAUUCAUAGAUAACUGCAGAAGAAGUAGCACUUAACAGAGAAAUAAUAAUCUUAAUAUAUUUCCCCUUCUCUGUUGGUUUAGUCUUACACACACUUCGAAUCAACUCCAGCACCACCAUCUGAAGUGAUUCAUUCCAGUCUGAAACCUUGUCAACAUUGCUCAGAAGAUAAUUCACUGCUCGUUCUUCGGCACAGGUAAAGAGCAUUAGAAAUGCAUUUCUCUUGGCAGACGGAUCUUGUUCUGUUGAUAGAACUUUCUCGAUCAUUUCAGGUGCAUCCACAAAGAGUUGGUCUCCUUGUGGAAGCUUAUAUAUCGACAUGAUAGCUAGGAUUGCAUUCCUACGUACAAACGGAUGGCGAUGCUCCAGAUUUUGCAACACUGAUGGAGUCAACGGUUCUACUAUUUCAGUCUCCUUCAACCGGCAGAGAAACCUCAGUGUCACACCACGGAUGUACUCAUUCGAAUGCUGAAGGUUAUUCCGAAGAUUCUGGCAUAUCAAAAUCAUUUCAGGUAACACCUUCCCCUUAGAAUCGGUUUUUUCAAUCAGCUCCAGGUAUAGCAACAGAAGCUUUUGGAUUGUGUGGUCCUCAGAAGGCAGCACAUAUCUUAUAAUGGUUAUGAAAAGCUGAGGAAUGGUUUCACCAUUCAACAAAAGCAUAACCGCCUUCUUCAUGGCAUCAAUUUUAGCUUCAACAUCAUUUCCUUCGAGAGCUUCUUUAAUCUCAUUGGCCACUGCAGGAGUCCCUUUGUCAUAGUGCACAAGCAAGGUACUAGAUUUGUCCAUCUUUUCCGGUGCUGCAGCUGCAAAAAAAGUGAAAGAGAAACCGAAAAAAAAAAAAAACUUGUGAGCCCAAAUGAAAAGGAAAAUAGUGCAGGAACAAGUGGUACCAAUGUAGCAUAAGAAAGAUAGAAAGUGAAUAUAGAGAAUAGGAACCCAAACUCCAUACAAUUGAUUAAAGACAAAAUGAGGUAUAUAUAGAUCACAAGUAACAAACAAGAUAUCCAAAAUGUUAAUAUUUCUUGCGAUUUCAAGUUUGAAUUACUGAGUAUAAGCACCUUACUAGUGUCCUCAUCACUGCUCGAGUAAGUUCUAUACAAGAAGUUUAUGAGUAUCCUCCUCAGCAAUAAUCUACACCUCUCUACUUAUAUAUCUAUACAACGAAUGAAGCAUCUCUUUUCUCUCGAAUCCAUGGUUUAUGAGAAAGCAUCAUAAUCGCAGAAGAAUAUUCGGUAAUGUUCAAUCAAGGACCGAAAGAUGCAAAACAUUGACAAAUCUAAAUCAUCAGAUCCAGCGAUACACAUCACUUUACCAAAACAUUAACAUAAAAUCGAAUAAUAAAAACAGCUUCCGAUCAACUAAAAUUCAAAAAACAUCCCCAGAUUUGAUGAACAAACAAUGGAAUCUACAUAGUUCGCAGUCUCACUAAGCUGCACAAACAUGAGAAUCAGUUUCCUACCGGGAUCGGAUCAAUCUUUAAGGAGAUCGAACAAAGAACGUCCGAGAAUAUCGAACAUUGUAGAGUUUUCACAAAGGAAAAAGGUAAAAGGGGGAUCGAUCUCUAUGAAAUCUGAGUCGCAAGUUAAACAGAGAGAGAGACGAACCUCAAGGUACGAGAUCCAGAGAGAGAGAGGAGGAGAUCCACGGAGUUACGAAGCUUUUGGAUCCAAGAGAAGAUUUUGGAUCUCGGAAAACAAAAACACUCCCACAAAGUGAGAGAUAAAAAAUGAGCUUAUUAUCGUGGAUUCGUCUUCUGAAUUUACUCCUCCAAAUCCGUUUUUUUUUGGAAAACGAAGAACGGAAAAAAGCGAGUCAGCCUCAAAGGCCCAAAUAAUUGAUUGAUGGCAAGCCCAGCCCAAUAGAUGUUGAGAAAACAUAGCCCCUUAUGUUUUUAAUUGUUUCCAAAAUGACCCCAAACUUCAUAAAGUGAGCUUCAUUAGGAUUGAGGAAUCUUAGGACACUUUGGUCAGAGUUUAUUACCUAACCAACAAACGGUAGUCAACUAAAUUGAUAUUCUUUUGGUCUAUUUGAUGUUCUACAUAAUAUAAAUUUAGUUAACCAACGGUAAGCUCAACAACUAGAAGCCUCACAAUAUUUAAAACAAGGCAUCCCAAAUUUGUAUCACGUUCUCUAGCACACCAUCUGAUACGCCUCAUAAAUCUGCAUAGUAAGCAUGUUAAUAUGUUAUAAUUAAACAACUAUUUUAAAAGUGGUCAAAAUAUAUAUAACUUAAUUAGGUUUUAUGAAUGAGUUUGUAUAAGUAUGUUUUAUGCUUGGGAUGCUUGCUCGUUGCUAUGCCUAUGAUAAAGUUUCUUCUUACAAAAAAAAAAAAAAAAACAUUCUAGUAAAACUUCCCUCAUAUAUAAUGAUCUAUUACCUUACUAGAUUUUAUCUCGUGGUACACCACAGAUCGAUUUUUUUAACUACAAAAUUAAAUUUUAAGUUGUAUUUAUUUUAAUAUUGUUUAUUUUGUUAAGUCUUUAAGAUCGUAUAAUUGUAUUUUGAUUGUUAAUUUUAGGAUUUUAUCCGUGAUACGUCCCGUAUUAAUAUCGAUCCAAACCCGUCCUACCAUAUAACCCCGUUCCGUGAAAUUAAAUAUCAUUUUGUUAUUUUUAAUAAUAUUUUAUCAAAUAGACAUAUAAUUCGAGUCAAUUUAAAAGUUUAAUAUUAUAUAUAUUUUUGAAUUUUAGUUAAUAAUAAUUAAUUCUAUAUAAUGAUUUCCGAAUUAAUUGCGUAUGUCCAACAGUAAGAAUGAAGAUUAAUAACCAGAUUAAGAUUUGAAUGGUCACGAUUAAAUAUAGGGAUUGUUGAGAUCUUUUAAGGAAAUCGAAUUAAAUAUGGAUUUAAUUGUGAUAAAGAUUAUUUAUUGUUAAUAUAUUAUGUUAAGAUUUUUGGAAACAAUUUUUUAUGUUAAUAAGUCUGGGCAAAUAAACCGAACCAAAUGUACCGAACCGAAACCGAAGCAAAAAAACCGAACCGAACCGAACCGAAAAUUUGAAAAUAACCGAAUGGAUAAUAAAUUUAAUAACCGAAAUAACCAUAACCGAAUCGGUACCGAACCAAAAUAUUUUGGUUAACCAAAAUACCCGAAAUACAAUUAUAUUUUCAAAAUAAUUAGUUAUUUAUAGACCAAAUAAUCAAAAAAUACUUGAAAAAUAUAUAAAAAUAGUUCAAAUACUCGAAAAUAACCAAAAUAUAUCCAAAAAUAUCUGAAAAUACUCAAAAAUAACCGAAAUAUCCGAAAAUAUCCUAAGCAAAAUAACCGAAUGGAUACUAAAUUUCAAAACCGAAAGAACCGGAACCGAACCGAAAUUUCAAAAUAUCCGAAUGGGUACUAAAUUUUAGAACCGAAAAAACCGAAACCGCAUAGACCCAACCGAUAAAACCGAACGGAUAACCGAAAGCCCAGACUUGUUAAUAUCUUUGAUUUAAAUUUGUAAUUCUAAAUAAUUAAUGUCCAUGAUAUUUGAUCGUAGUUAAUAUCUUUGAUUUAAAUUUGUAAUUCUAAAUAAUUAAUGUCCAUGAUAUUUGAUCGUAAAUAAGUUGAAACUCGAGGAUUUAUUUCAUAAAUGUCUCUGAAAAUGUAUAUAUAGAUGCAUGCUUUGUUUGAAAAGAAUCAUUCCCUACAAAUAAUCAAUGUUCCACCGAAAUGAUUAGCACUUGUCAUUGCACAUUAUUAACAUAGCAUGUGUUUAGAUUCUUUAGAUGAUAUAUACGUACAAAUAUGAAAGUAUAAACAAUGGUGUAUGUAUAUAUAUAUAUAUAUAUAUAUAUAUAUAUAUAUGUAGUACUAGAUCCAGAGAGGUUGACAAUCAAAUCUAACUCAUCUUCCCAAUGGAACCAAAAUCUUUGAUAUUCGUCAUCAUCAUUAUCAUAGUCAUCAGCACUCCACUUCCUUCUCUCUCUUUUCAAUUCCCAUCCAACAAAACACCAACAACAUCAACACUAAUUUCUUCUCAAUACAAAACCCUAGCCCGCAACACAAUUCAGCAGCAGUUUCUCCGACCACACAACAUCUUACGAGCCAAGCUUCGUCUCCCUCCUCUGAAAUGGAGCAAUAGUCUCGCCCUCUACGCGAGCCGGUGGGCCCAAACCCGCGGUGGAGAUUGCAAACUUAUUCACUCCGGGGGACCUUACGGGGAGAAUCUCUUCUGGGGAAGCGGAAAAGGGUGGACUCCACGGGACGCGGUGGCUGCAUGGGCAUCGGAGAUGAAAUACUAUGACCGGAGGACUUACCACUGCAAGGUGAAUGGGGAUUGUUUGCAUUACACGCAACUUGUAUGGAAGAAGAGUUCGAGGAUUGGGUGUGCAAUCAGUUUUUGCAAGACCGGUGCCACAUUUAUUAUUUGCAACUAUGAUCCUCCUGGUAAUAUUGUUGGACAGCCACCCUUUUGAAUAUUGUCUACACUUUAUCUUUACCUUUAUUUUCCUCAACUACGUACACUUUAUCUUUAUUUAUGUAAAAUCUUGUUUUGAUUCUUGGAUAUUUGUCAUAUUGUAUGUAAGAUAACAAAAAUGAAUUACGUUUUCUCUUGUAUCCGUAUCAUAUGUACAGUAUAUGCUAAACUUUUCGGGUAAGGUUUCAGUUUCAUUAUAUUAAGCCACCAAUAAAACACCUGAUUUUUAACAUGAGUUUUUUUGGUGAUGCAAUUUGUGUUUUGAUAUAUUUUUGUUGCCGUAAACAAAUUUUUAUUUUUUAUUGUUUGGCCGGUUUGAUUGUGUUUCGGUUGAGAUGGGGGACCUACGUUCUUAAAUUCAGACUUUCAGUUCAUGUUGACUUGGUUCGGUCUAUGUUAGAUGCUGAUAUUGACUUUUAUCCGGACUGCCAAAUUGAACCGAAUAAAACCAAACCAUAAAUUAAGGGGAACUAAUCUGGGCCUCAGAGCCAACGAAAUAAAAAAGCCCAAUGCUUCAAAACUCAGAAACUGAACCCUAAAGAGGCUUAGAUCGCUACAUCGACGCCGGUCCGAAACUUCGACUCGUGGUUAUCGUCAGUUUCAUUUCUGCUUCUUCUCUCUCUCGUGGCUAGACCAUUUAUGUGGUUUGGUUCACUUCAGGUCAGCUUCUCAUCGAUUCUCUAUUCUGUUUGUCUUGAUUCGACGAUUCAUUUGAUCUUUUAUUCAAUCGGUGUCUGAUUCGAGCGACGGCGAAGCAAGAAGGCGAAAUAGCAUACCGGAUUUUACCGGCUAAUUUUAUCCGGUUUGACUAAAAUCGUUGGCUAAACCGAUUUGUUUCCAUCUUCAGGUCAUACCAAGCACAGAGAAAAGCAUUUGGGUAGGUUUUGCGAUCUGUGAUUUUCGGAAGGAGAAACGAAAAUGGCGUUUAGAGGGAAGGAGAUGAUGAAGAAGCUGGUGAAGAGAGUGGGAGCGGAGAAUAUCACGCCAGAGCUCAAGGAGAAGCUCAAGGCUUGUGUUCCUGAUACCAAAGUCGUCAUGGGCAGAGCCAAACGCGGUCUCUACGCCGGCCGCCAUAUCCAGUACGGCAACCGCGUCAGUGAAGAUGGUGGAAACAAGUUUGUCUCUUUCUCUCUAUGCCUCCCUAUCUGUUUAUGAUGUAUGUGUAUUCGCUUGAGAUUUGUUGAAUUUAGAGCUUGUGAUGGUUUUGCUUAAAAUUCACGCAUUGAAGGGCUAAUUUGUAUGUUUUUUAGGAAUGCUUUCUAGAUUUAGGUUUCAUUUUGGUGAAAUGAAAUCUAAAUUCUUGCGUUUGGAAGUAUUCAAUAGCCUUUGAAAUCUUUAGCUGGUUAGAGAUUGUAUAGUGCCUCAUUUUGUUUAGCGCUCUCAUUUGUUUCCGGAAGAUGGCAUUGUUGUUUUGUUUCUGUAUCAUGCUACUCUAAAGAUUCUCAAUAUUUUGAGCCAUGGUGUGAUGAAAUUUAUCCCCUUUAUAGAGAAAUGUAGGAUCCAUGUAACCUAUGUGUCUUAAUCUGAUUUAUUCUGUAUGGUUUGGUAACUUUUGUUUGUGAUUUGAGUUCAGGUCCAGAAGAUGUUGGAAACCGAAUGUCCAGGAGAAGCGAUUGUUCAGCUACAUAUUCGACCGUCACAUUAAAGUCAAAGUCACAACACAUGCUCUCCGCUGCAUCGACAAAGCAGGAGGAAUAGACGAGUACCUGCUAAAAACACCAUACCAAAAGAUGGACACAGAGAUGGGUCUUUACUGGAAAACCAAAGUAGAGCAAAGAUAUGCAGAGCUAGGUCAAAUGGAAGUAGCCUUCUUCACUCCAGAGGAUGAAGCCAAGUUCGAACAAGGAUUCAAAGACUUGAAUAUAGCUAAGAAAGAUGCUCGUAGGGAAGCUAGAAGAAAGAUGUAUGGAAAGAAAGGCGGAGAAGGGAAAGCUGAUGAAGAAGCUUCUAUUGAAGGUGGAGGGUCAAAGUCACACCAAGAAGAUGAUCAUGGGUGGUUAGAAGCUAAAGCUUAGUGCUGCACUCUUUUCUUUUUGCUGAGGUUCUUCAACGUUUUUAGAUUUUGGAAGAUGUGAGAGGUAUGUGAUGUUGUAGGUUAUAGGUUCGAUUCCUCCCUACGAAUCCCAUAACUCAGGUUUUGACUUUGAUCAAUGUCGAAAAGUCUUGUAAUAAAUGGUUUACACCUCUUUGGAAUUGGAUCUCUAUUUACCAUUUUUACAUACUUAGCUUGUCCUUCUCUUUCGAUACCUCAUCUCCAAUGGUGAACAGUAGGUGAUCUUAGUAUUAUAUAUUUGCGUAAGUAUUCUUCACAAGUUAAUAUUAUCUGAAAUUUCGUUCAUAUAAUUUUAAAACAAGUGUGUCAGUGGUAUUUCUGAUUUUUGUAUUUAUUUCAGUUCUAGUAUGUAUUUAAUUUCUGUUAUCAAUCAUUUAACCAUUCAUUUCACAAACAUCAACUAAAGUUUGAUUUUGGAUCCACCAAAAAGUUAUAAAUUUAAAGAAUUUGGUUGCUCUACCAUAAAGUCACAAAUUUUCUUAUUUUAGAAAACAAAUAGUAAUAUAGAGAGAUUUAAAAUACAAAAAUCAAGGAUAAAGGCUAAGAUGUUUGUUGCUAUAAUAGAGGACAGAUAAUUAAACUACAUUAUCCUUAGUCGUGGCAUCAUCACUAAAUACUUAUCAGAAUUCUCAUGAUUUUGUUUUCUUUUUCCAUCUUCUGACCAAACAAAGAUAUUGGACAUAAUAACUUUAGUUUAAUAUCUUUAGUUCUCUACCGCUACCUAGAGACGUCGCAAUCUCUACCAACCGUCAGAUAUUCCGACCCCAUUAUAGACGGCGAGGAUCUCUGCGUCUCCGUCAUCUCAGAUUCUUUUUUUUGCGAUAUAAAAUUUAAUGAAUAUUUGCUUUGAAGGUCAUUAUGGAAUAAAAACAAACAUUUGAUUUAUUCUUAAUUCCAAAAAGAUAAAUUACUUAAAAUAACUUGCAAAACCGAAGAAAAAAUAUCGGCAACAAGAACAAAACGCUCUUCUAUUUUUUUUCUUCAUCUUCCAAUUUCCAGGAACAAGAUUGGACGAAAUCUAAAGGUAAUCAUCGAACAAAAUAAACAGCUUAGCUUCUAAAAAUCCUUCCUUUACCUCGGGAUUCUUUUUAUGUUUUCGGACAAAUUGACUUUUUUGUGUGUUUAUGAUGGUUUGGAAACUAAUGAUAAAUGAUGUUACUGUUCUUGAUUCUGAAUCGAUUUUGUAAGUUGUAACUCUCUCUUGUUUUAGACCAGGUAACAAAGAAAACAUUUACUGUUUUUGUUUCUCUCCAAUGAAUCACUUGUGUAAAAUAGUUGAGAAUUGUUUCUCUUCAUGUUCAAGAAAUUUGAUUGUUUUAGUUCUUUUUCAAAAUGAAAUCUUUAUUGAGAAGUGAUUGUAGGCAUCGUUUGGAUCAUUUUAUGAAAGGUUUCAUUUUUAUUUGAACCAUCACAGAUGAUAAGCUUUUGUUUCGAUAGGACCUUUGCUAGACUUUUGUGGUUGAAGCUCUUUAUGUUUGGCUGUUGAUUUUUAAGAUCGUUAUUACAAGAGUUUAGUCAGAACAAUGUUUUCUUCUAAUGAUGAUUUUAUGUCUGGUGCAAAGGUAUUGAAUCGCAGAUUUUAGCAGUUUAGUCUCUGAGUAUGACUCUUGUAUUUGCUCUUUUGCUCGUUUUUUUUUUCUAUCAGUGUUUGAUCUGUUCUUUUUUUUCAUUCUUUGGGGAACUUUGGAGUUCAAAUGAAUAGUUUUUCUUCAAGAAUUUGCGUUUUGAUAAAGUAAAAUAAAGAGUCUUUUUGUUACAGGUAUUGCAUCCAUUUAAAAAGUUCAUGGAUAGGUGGUCGGGUAAAAGAGCGCAUGAGGCGCGACCUGACUCUAAGAAGGGUGGUGGUGUUGUUUUCAGAGAUAGAUUUAACAACAAUAGUUGCAAGGUUCCUAUUUGUAGUGAUGAGAAAAAAACGAUGAACUUUACUCGGUUUGUUGGCUCUUCAGAUAAGAAAGAGAAGUCAGUCUUGUCUACAUACCGCUCUUCGCCAAACGGGAAGGAAGUAAUUGGAACUUCCUCUAAGAUUUGUGGCUCUAGCUCCUCUUCUGUGAAAAGUGAGAAGCAACCGUUUUCUCAGAUAGCCAUGGAUUCAUCAGAGAGCAGCAGAGGUAGCGAAGAUGAGGUAGAGACAGAAAUCUUGCAAGUUUCUCUUGGAAGAGAUAAAAGAAAAGCUAACAAUAAACUUAUUUAUGGAAAAGUUAUAACACCAGAAGCGGAAUGUUCAAACUUGCCAUCGAGCUCAAGAAUCAAGAGAGGUUUUAGGCAGAGGUUUGGGUUGAGCAAGCAAGAGUUUCACCCUGGUCCCUCUGGCCAGUCAACAUCUGCCAACCGAGGAUGCAGCCCGUUGUUAUCCGGUGUCAUUCCAAGUGGUUUUGGAUUGGAGAAAAGAUUAAGUCGGAAGGCAGAUACUAUCAAUAAGAGGAAAGUUUAUGGAGAAAGCAGUUCUAGCUCCUCAGCUAGGGGGAAGAAUGUAACAGAAACACCAGCUGAAGUGAGACGUCGUAGUUUUAAUCCGAGAGGUUCUGUUUCAGAUAUUAGACAGGCUAGACACUGCAUUUUGAAUGAUGACAACGAUGUUGCUUCAUUUGGGAGUCAGAGAUUGGCAGAUAGAAGUAAUAGUCGCAUUAGAUUCUCAAACCCUGGGAGUGGUAGAGAAGCUUUAUCCUCUGUCACGGCAACAGAGAUGUCUCAGACUGAGACAUCAAACAAUCUCAAUUCUCCUGUCUCUUUGGAGCUGUUCUCUGGUUUCCCAGAAUUUGGCCUCUCUGGUUCCUUAUUGAGUCAAGACAGUUUUCGCAGUUACAAUUUAGAUGGGAUCUCGGAGGUAACUAUUUCCUGUUACUCUACAACUUGACAUCUUGUCUGAGCAUCAUCAACUAGUGCUUACAACAAUGCCCUUAGCACCGUUUAACUUUUGGUGUUUUGUAUUGCUCGGAUGCUUUUGCAGAUUUUGCCAGAACUUGAUAGGAUUGAACAAGAUAUCGAGCUUAAUUAUGAGGUUAAAAUUUGACACAUGUUUUGACUUUUGAGUUUCAGAUGUUGUGAUAGUGUUGUUACUCAUAUUUUCCUCUCCCUUAUCAGGAGCUGCUUAUCAUGGAGACAGGUUUACUUCUCGGUGGACUAAGCUUCCAUGACCAACACCGAGACAUGAGGCUAGACAUAGAUAACAUGUCAUAUGAGGUUCGUCCUUACAUCUUUCAAACUCGUGUUCCGUAUUGGGAUGUAGUAUCUUUACCGUUUUGUCUUUUUAUUUUUGAAUGAAUACAGGAACUAUUAGCUCUUGAAGAGAGGAUUGGUACAGUAAGCACUGCUCUCACAGAAGAAGCAAUAUCAAAGUGCUUGAAAACAAGCAUCUAUCAGAUGAAACCUGUAACUUAUGGGUCUAUCACCAAAAGUCCUAGUGAUCACAAGGAAGAUGCCAAAUGCAGCAUCUGCCAGGUUUGUCUUGUUAGUCAUAAUCAAGCCUUUGGCUUUGAUGAAAUCUUAAGGAAAGCCUGCCAUGAGUUGAUGUAGCUAAGUGAACAACACCAAACUUUGUCUAUUGUUGCGGGUGCUGUCACAAAGUGUAAUGGAAAUCUUUGAUUAUUACAGGCGUUUCAUUGAUGCAUGAUGGUGAAUAUAGAACUGAUAUGUAUUUGUAUAUGUAAAAUCAGAAAUUUUCUUUACCUUUUCUCUACAGUUCUUCACACUCUGAUCUUUGUGGUUUACAGGAAGAGUAUACAAUAGGAGAUGAAGUUGGGAGGCUACACUGUGAGCACACAUACCAUGUGAAGUGUGUGCAAGAGUGGUUGCGGAUGAAGAGUUGGUGCCCAAUCUGCAAAGCCACUGCCGAAACUUCCUCUAAAUAACUGUCUUCUUCUUCUUCCUCGUUCGUUGUAUUAUUUAUUUCAUCUAAAGCCUGUGAACAACAAUGGAACCUGCCUAGAAAGGGCCUCACCAUUUCCUUUGUGUACAUACCAAUUCACACCGGCUCUGUCUCUCUUUCUAUAUUCCUUUUGUCUAAUGACAAAGCUAUCCUGUGUUUCUCUUCGUCUUUUCACCUGUUUCCUGUUGAUUUCCGUAAUGUAAAGUGGGAAAGGCGGAAAAUAUGUCAUUUGAACUUUGAAGAUUAAGAAAACGUCAUCUUGAAUUCUUAAACUUGGACAAUUUGUUGAAAAACAACAAAGAGCGUGCGUGGUUCUUUGGAUCUCUGGACUUGUGGGAAAACUUAAAAAGACAUUCAAAGAAGAAAAUGGAGUCGCCUUCUGCAUAUUUUCAAAGUAAAAGCCAAAGGUUUCCCAAAAAAGAGAGCAACAAUUACUGUUGGAUAGACUGAGAAGCCGAAAGCAGAAUCAUCACGGGAUUUAGAAUCUGAGAAUUUCAUGAUUCUCCAUAGCGAGAGUAUAAUACAUUUUCCCAUUUGUAAUUCAGCUCAAGUAUUACUUGAUAGGAUCAUCUGAAACAGUUUAUGUCAAUACCUUGUAGGGUAAAAGAAACAAGUAAGAAAACCAACCAGUAGAAUGUAAAAAUGAGGCAAUUCACUGAUUUUGAAAAUAACUUUUUCACUGAAAUGAGGUAACAAAAAUGUAAAUGUAAAUGUAAAAGUGAUGUCAAUGUGUCUUCAAGAUAUAAAUUCUAAAACAAUUCUAAGACUAUGUUACAUACAGAGCAAUACUGCAACUAUUACGUGAUUGUUUGUACCUUGCUCUUGCCUAAAACCCACAGUAUCUCAGCCAAAACUUUCUCUUGAUUUCCUUAUCGGCCUGCGUUUACACUCAAAGCUUGAAACUCGCUGGAAUGGCCAGAUUUCUUUUGAUCUUACAACAACACGUAUUCAUUCAUAUCUACUAACCUGCCCCGAGUCUGCGGCUCCAGGACAUAGUUGGGUCAAUCAGCCAUCAGGUCCAUCAUGGGAUACAGAGCUCAAGAAUUGUUUUCUACCAAAAUCAGUGGCCAGUCUUUUUGGACCAGAGAGCUUACUCAGACAAUUUGCAGCAUCCAAUAUGCCUAACCAUUUUCUUUCACACCCCUUCUCGUUCCUCGAAUGAACAUAUGGAAAUUCUUUCCCGUAGCAAUGGCCAGUCUUCACCAAGUUGAUGCGGAUUUAGCUCCAUUGCAACUCUAAAAUCAAGCAAAGACACUGAAUGUUGUUCUUGCGUUAUGUCAGAUGGUUGGUUGCUAGUUUGUAUGUGCAAACUAUUACUCGUCCGCACCCCAUUUACAAGCUCGUCUCGGCUCUGCUGUUUGUCUAAACUUUGUUUUCCAGGCGUUCCAUUCAUGGACCGAGCUCCAGCCAAAUCAACGCAUGAUUUCAUUAGUUUCUUCAGGUACAAGUCCAACAUGUUAUUUAAAACAGUAGAACACUCCGCGGAAACCCCUCCAAGACCCUGUGCUACUGCAAUAUUCUCCAUCCUCUUCCUCAGCAUCUCUGUGUCUGACAAUCCACCACUGUCAUAGCAACUGAUAGCAUCUGCGCUGGUCGAAAUUGGAACUGUUCUGCGAUCCCCACCGACACUAGCCGAGCAGAAUGGGAUCCCCAGAGGUGCAACUACAGGAGGCAUGGAAAGAAUCAAACUACCUCGCUCUUCUUGGGCUUCAUCAUCCCUGCUAAGAGGAGCUGCAACCUGACCUUUACCCGAAUCCCUCUUUUGUUCAGCAGGGCAAAGAAAUGCACUGUCUCUUUCAUCAGCAUAGCGACCUGAUCUUUGAUAAGCAAAAGGACCCGAAUCCCUGUUCUCCGUGUUACUAUUACCGGUUCUGUCAACCUUUCCGUUUGGCCCUAGUGGACAAGGCUUAUCUCUGAUUGUACUGUCACACGUUCCAAACCGAACGUUGGGUAACACCCCAUUUGAGCAAACAGGAUCAUUCCUACUAUGGUCAGGAAUUAGAGGUCCGCUUUGUUCAGGUCCAUCCUCUUUCCCAAGCACCAAAGAUUUGCCAGGGUGACCGGUUUGGUGACCUGGUGGUGGGGACUUAGCCAGAGACGCAUUUCUCAAGAUGGAACGAAUCAACUUGUUGUGUAGAGAAAGAUUCUCUCUCCCCAAAAGACGGAAACAUGACUUAUCAAACUCACUCUUAGUAAGCUUCUGACUCAGAAACCUGCCCAAAUAGUAAAAAUACCUUCUAGAUCUUUCAACCCCAAUCUUCUUCACUAUAUGCACUUUCAGGUCAGCUAGAUCAACCCUGGGAUCUUGAAGACGUUGCAUACUUGUUUCUUCUUCUUCUUCUUCUUCUAAAACCGAAACCAGAUGAAACAGUCAGAGGAGUGCACAAAAUGCACCCUCUCAGCUUCUAGUUAUCCUUCACACAAACAAACCCAACUCAUCAACGUAUUAUUUCUCAAACUCAAAUCCAAGAGCAUUUCAAGAACUCAGCUGCAGCUUUUAGUACAGGCCACUCCAAUUGCAUCCAAAAGCUCUUUCAUUUUCCCAAACGACCCAGAAUUCGUAAAUCUCAUGUUCCCAAAACCAAAACCCUAGAGAUCAUUAUCUACUAGCCAGCUUAUACCAAGAACCUUAAAAUUCAACCUCGGCUGAUUCAGUAUCAGAAUGGAUUAAAAACCCUAGCUUGGAGUCAGCAAAUCAAUCCAUCAAGAAGGAAGAACCACCAACUAACCGUUUCUCCAAGUUCACGAGCGAGUAAGAAGACGAAACUGAAUCAGAGCAGAAAAACCCAAGCAUUUUUUGCUUCACGCCCAAUUCGGAAGCUAAGAACUUGAGAAUUUCCGAAAUUUGAGUUGGAGAAAAUCGAGAUCAGUGGAGUUGGACAAAUGAUUGGAGCUUUGAGAACAGAGCACCAGAUUCGAAUUGCCUAAAGAAAAAGAUGAAAUUCGAAUUGAAGAAGGAGGAAGCGGGCAAUGAGAAGCGGGACCCAAGCUUGGAAGCAGAAAAACAAGUGUUGGAAGAUUGAUUUAGAGUAGGAAAGAUUUGACCAGAAUUCAGACACGAAAACAAAAUCGGAACAUAACAAGUAACUUCCCAGAGUUCCGACACCAACCCAAUGAUUUCUCGGCUCCUUAAUAAUAAUAAUACACUUCUGCUUCGAUUGAAUCUUGCUGGCUUCUUGUUUCGUAUUGCUGCUUUUCAGAUUUGAAUGUCCGAGCGCUUUCGCUCUUGUGUGUUUGUUUAUUAGCUUCGAUCGCUGCUUAUUGGGUUUUGUUGUUCGUUUUUCUUCACUUUUGUUUCUGUCUGUUUUUUUUUUUUUUUUUGUUUCUCUCUCUCUCACUCUCUGUCUUGAUAAAAUUUGGUUUAUUGGGUUUCUUCUUUUCGCUCGUUAUUGCUUUUGUACUUUCGACUAAAUCGAGUUUGAUGUAAGAAAUUCUGUAACAACAAUAGAUUAAACCCAUUUGAUUUAUUCAUCUUGCAAUGUUCUGAUCUGAGUGAUCUCAUCUAAUAUCGGAUCAUGUCAGAAUUUCUUUACUUGAUACAAGUGACAAUUUAUUUACAAGAUUAAAGAUGAGUGUUAGUACUUGAGAUUUCCCCCAAAUAUUAGGUGUUGGCUUUUUGGUCAAGUAAAAAGAUUUUAAAAUUUGGCGUUGAACAAAAGAAAAAGAGUUUCAAUAUGGAAUUUGCAAACUACAAAGCUUCGUCAGCUGGAACAAAACCAAGCUUCAAACUUACAACAUUAAACAUUAGAGAUUCAGACAAAUGAAAGAAAAAACAGAGACACAAUUCCACAUAACUCGACAAGACAUAUCCUCCUAACUCAAAUACUACAAGAAAACCUACAAAGAUUACCAAGUGACAAAGACCAAACACAAACAGAUGUGGGAUUCAAUCUAAAAGAGAUGUCACAUAAUCCUACCUCAUAAUACUCUCCUACUGCAUUGUGUUUGUUGUGUACAGCUCAUCUUACAGAGUUUAUUUGGCCCGUCCUUUGCCUCGACCUCCUCGGCCUCUUCCUCUCCCCCGCCCUCUUCCUCUUCUGCUGUAUGCCAAGACCUUCGUAGUUCCCGGGCUGCUACUUGCUGAGUUUGAGUUCGGUAGAGACUGGUCUCCUGGGAGCCACUCUUCUUCAUGAGUGCUUGAACUGUUAUGCGAGCCACUUGAGUGGCUGUCAUUGUUUUCGUUAUUAAUUGCACCAUCUGAGCCAUUCCCUACUGUCAUAUCAUCACCAUGAAUUUCAGCUACAGGCUGAGAAGCCUCGGUUUCUUCUGGUGGUGUGGGUUUUGGUUGACCUUCCACCACUGGUGAACUGAAAAAGUAAGGCUUUGCUUAGUAUGAAAUAAUAUCAUCAUGUCAAACUAGACAGACAAAUGAGGUGGAAGGUGAACUGAAAAAGUAAGGCUUUGCUUAGUAUGAAAUAAUGUCAUCAUGUCAAACUAGACAGACAAAUGAGUUGUUUUUUCACCUAGGUGAUGAAGAUGGGAAACCGUUAAAAGUAGCACGUGAUGCGCCUAUUUCAUCAGCUUCUUUUGAUGUUUCAAACACAUCUUUAGGGAUGCAAGAAGAGUUCCCAGUUGGAUCCAAAGUUGCCCCAAGAGCCAAGACAGCUGCAUUAAUAGGAACGCAAGUAAUUUAAGAGAACCCAACUAAACAUCAUCCAGCACCAAAGGAAUUCAACAUACCAUGUAUACCAUUUGUGGUGUUUCCGAUAGUAGAGCUAGGUUGGAUAAAAUCGCCAUCUUGAUCAUUGAAGUCAUCUACAGCGGUUCCACUGUCACAUACAGUUGAGAAACUUCAGAAGAUUGAUAUACUAAAAAAUGGAUCUGUCGAAAAGAAACAAGUUACAAUCUGUGUUGGAAGGAUAAGCACAAUAAAAAGAACCUUUGAGGAGCGGUAUUUGUAUCUUCAGACGGCUUGACUCCUUGUGUGGAGAUAAAUGUCUCGUCCAAACCAACUCCACCUAAUCAGAACACAUUAAAUUCAUGAGACAGAGUAUAAAAAUCGAAUAUUAGAGAGUGUAUACAAAUUAAGGAUUAAGGGAGAAACUAACAAGAUCUAGUAUGUAAAACUCCUGUUUCUCCGACGGCUAGAUUAGCUUCCGUAGUCUUCACUCAAGUAAAACACAUAAGGACACCAAAAAAAGAAAAGAUUGGAACUGCAAGUUUCUUCUUGGUAUAGAGAGACACAUAGUGUAAAGAGUGCUUGAUACCUGAUUGUGUUCAGAGGUAGGUAUGGCUGAAUUUGGUAGAGCUCUGCUUUGUUCAUACCGUACAGCUGAAAGAACAGAAAAAAAAGAGUUACUCAUGUGACCAGAGCCGAAAAUACUUUCAGUUUCAUCUCAUGUCUUACUGAAAAACUUCGACCACAUGUAAAUAAAGAAAGAAAAAAAUACCUCCAUCAGCAUUCAAAGACGAAGCAUUUCCUUUGAGCAUAUCAGUCGCUAAAACAUAGGGGCUGUAUUUAGGUUCCAAAGAGGCUACACUACUAGGACUUUUAAGCAUUUCCUCUGUUGCUUUAGCUCUGACUUUGCGAAUUUCAUCUUGAAUAUUCCAUGAUUGAUUAGAACCGGACUUCCUUUUCAGCUGCAUUUUGGUAUUAAAUGUCAGAAUGGAUAAGGGUAAAUUUGAGAGAGCCAUUCAAAAUACAUAAUGGUAUGCAACUUUUCUUUAGGAAAAGCUGGAAAUAGUGUCCCACAAAUUCCUCGUGGUUAUCUAACAUAAACAAUAGAAGUUAAGCAGAGAAUUUUAUCUUAUAAACCAAGGUAAAACAACUUCAGACUUUCAAACAACAUUUGACCAUAAGAAAAGUAUGCACUGCUGGAAAACUUAAAAUUCUAACCUUAGAUGAGGAAAAGUUUCCAGCGCUAUAAGGAAAGGGUGUCCCUUGCAUUCCUGCUGAUGAUGGUGAUCGAAACUCUGCUGGAGAUCCCCAUGGCAGACGAGCUCGCAUGUAAGACUUGGCCACGUCCACAGGCGAUCCAGCACCAUCUUCAGUUGCCUAGAGAAUUAAACUAAUGGCUGAGAUGGUGAUCAUCAUUUAAAGCACAAUGGAAAAGAAACACAUAUGGCGGAAUAAUGUGAAGCAAAGCUAUCAGAAGUUGACCGAAAUCAUGUGAGCAAAUGGUCUUCAUAGUAAAAAAAAAAGAGCAACAAUAUGGAUCUUUUGCAUUUUAAGCGGACAAAAAAGUAGUUUCCAAUCAGGACAUUUCAGGAUUAAUGUCACCAGAUGGCCACACUCAAAAUUCUAAACAACCUACUUUUGCAAGAGAGCUUUACGUUGCUGAUCACAUGGAGUGGCAUAGAACAAUAAAAUCAUUUUACACAAACAGAAGAUGUCUCCUUCUAUAAUAACAAUGGCUUAGAGCACAGAGACAGAUAUCACAAAAAAGUACAAACCUGCAGGCUGCAGCAAUAUGGAACAGUUAAGAAGAGUUAGAACUUACUGUAUACUUUGAACUUGAUCCUGAUUUCUUUUCCUCCAACCAUUUUCUUGCUUCCAUGACAGUUGUAUUGGACAUUUCACCAACAUUCACAUCUAGAAAUAGAACAGAAAAGACGUUAUCACAUUGACUAAUCCGGUCUGCUUGCACAGUCUACCAUCAGUUACAUACCACUUGUCAAUCCAUUGUCAUUAUGCCUCCCCUCAACAGCAGAGGGGACACUAGGAUGAUCGACAACCCUAGCCUUGAUGAUAUCUAUUAAUCUAUCACCCUCUUCCCUGGAACAACAUACACAUGAAUGAAUAAGCAGGAUACAAGAUCAGCUUAGAUUUGUUAACUAAACAAAUAUCACAAAGAUUCUUUUAAGCUAAGAGCUGUAAAUAUUAAAUAAUAAGACUCGCGGAAGAGGCUGCAACUUAUGAUGUCCAGAAAGCCAGACAUAGAGAAAUACCUUGCAAAUGUUUCUUGCAUGAGAAGCUGCUCAAUUACACGCUUAGAACUGAGUCGUUGGAUGGUUGGUUGCUGGGCAGUCAGAAGGUCCUAUUCACACAAGCACACAUCAAAUUCACUCCACAAGUUCACAUAAACUGAAAUCAUGCUUUCAUCAAAAAACUUUUAGUUGAAAACGUGUUAGAACUUUACUUCUACAAAAUCAGGAUCACAUUACAAUUCAUACACAUACUAAAAAGGCGAAAGGUGACUCAGUACAAAACUAGCAGAAAAAUAAUCAAUCUUUAGCAACACCAUAAUCCACUGCGGCUACAGAGCAGAAUCAAUCAUAAGAAUAAUGAAUUCAAACAAAUAUCUAGAACUACAGUGGCAGAGCAAUCACCAAAACGAACAAGGUGGUUAGUACCUCUUCAGUAAAAUCGGUAAUGGUCUUCUCAACAUCCUCAUCACCAUCAAUAUCUGCACACAAAGAGGUUAACAUGUAAAAAUCCGUACUUUAAAAGAAUAAGACACAAAGCUGGUCGGGUCGGUUCUAUUAAUUCCAGAACUACUUCAUAUGCAAACCAAGGAAGAGAACGGGUCGACCUAAUCCCAGAACUACAUUAUAUGCAUAAAAAUUAGAGCUUUAGAAUUAGUAUGAAGGUUAUAGCUUUAGAAGUAACCUAACUAAAUAGAGUAGAGUAGUAAUUCACCACUGCUUAACUGCUAUUAAGUCCCACAUAUCAAAGGAAAGAGAAAAUGGGAAAGCUUUAAAUCAAAAUUCACAUUUCAAAUGAAACGGUAGGUUUCAGAUUCGAACAGAUAAUAAACCAAAAAUUCAAAUGAAUCAUAUCUAAACCCAAAUAAAUUGUACAAACCUGAAGAUGAAUCCUCGUCCUCCUCCGAAGACGAGGAAGAGUCGGAGAAGACGACGGAAGAAAUGAAUUUUCCGGCGCCGGAGGCAAUUACGCUGGCGGGUUUGUAAACGAGCCUGGAGAUCCAACUAGGGUUUUGCUGAGGAGGAUCUCGGGAUCUCGGAACGGGGCGGUCAUACGGCGUCCUGACGGCGGCGGUGCGUCGUGGUCGAACAAUUUUUCCUCCGGUACGAGGCUGACCUACUCCGGCGGGGUAACCGGAGACGGAAUCCAUGGUGAAAGUGAGAGGAGGAGGAGGGAGAAGUUCGUUGAAGGAAAUAAUGAAGUGUUGGGGAAAAUUGGUAAUUUCUCGUUAUUUGUCGUCUUCUUGUUUUUUUUUUUAAUUGGGGGUGAAAGGUUAGUUUCCUAAAUUACAGGCCUGCGGUUAAAAUUUGCUUCCACCAAUAAAAUUAGGCAAAAAAACAAAACAUUCCGACUAUAAAAAAAAAUUAACUGUAGUGUAUAAUCAUGUAUUAUAUAUUCAUUUGUUUUCAUAUUUUGAAAUUUGAACAAUGUACAUGACGUAGAAAAAAGAAAAAAAUAAGAGAGAGAUUAUAAUUUGGAAAAAAAAGUCAUGAUAGAACGAAGUAAUUAAUAAAGUUGUAAAAAGUUAUUUCAAAAAUAAUAUUUAAACAAUUUAAAUUAAAAUUUGGUUUUUAGUUUAUUUUUAUUUGCACCGAAUGGUACUUACUGUAAUUCGUCAACUACUGUAUGUCAGUGUUAAAAAAAGCUAAAAUAAUGGGCCCAAUGGGCUAUAUUAAUAUCGGGUCAAGGACGGGUCAGAAACAACCCGAUCGGAUCUAAAAUGGGCGCCUUCUUUUUCAUUUUGAUGGCAAUCAAUCAAUCGACGCUUCUUUAGAGACAAACGCAAUCGCCGAUCCAUUUACGAGCCGUCGUCGCUUUACACAUAUCAACAAUCCUUAUCCUCCAGUUUCCAUUUCUAGAUCGAUCGAGAUUGAAGGAGAGAAGAUGCCUGGUUUAACAUGUAACGCGUGUAACAUGGAGUUCAAGGACGAAGAAGAGCGUAACCUUCAUUACAAAUCCGAUUGGCACCGCUACAAUCUCAAGCGCAAGGUCAAUUUUCUGCUGUUUUCUCUAACCCAAUUUGACCUCAGACUAUUUUUGUAUACUUUUUCCAUUUUGCUGUCGAAAUGAUUUGUUUUAAGGUUAUAGAAUCGUUCUCUUGCAGGGGAAGAAAGUCUCUAGAUUUUAUAUGAAAUCUUGAUUUGAAGCUUAUCAUAGAUUUGGUUUCUUGUACGCAUUUGAAUCUUUUUGUAUUUAUGGAAUUUUUGUUGUUAGGUGGCUGGAGUUCCUGGAGUUACAGAAGCCUUGUUUGAGGCUAGACAAUCUGCUCUUGCUCUGGAGAAGAAUAAAUCAAAUGAAGCUCCUAUGCUUUAUACUUGUGGAAUCUGUGGUAAAGGUUACAGGAGUUCCAAGGCUCAUGAGCAGCAUCUUCAGUCCCGGAGCCAUGUUUUGCGGGUUUCACAAGGCCCAUCAAUCAACGGAGAGGAGGAUAUAGCGAUUAUCAGGCAACUUCCUCGCCGUGUUCAACACAGGGGUUCCAUUGAUGAUGAUAGUGAAGAUGAAUGGGUGGAGGUUGAUUCUGACGACGAAUUGGCUGCUGAAGAAGCCUCACAUUCGUUGUCUAAGUUGAAUGUGAUUGAGUCAGGAUCUGCUGAAGAUAUGGAUGAUGAUGGUGAUGCAGACAAGUAUGAGCUGGACCCAACCUGCUGUUUGAUGUGUGACAAAACCCAUAAGACCUUAGAGAGCUGUAUGGUUCACAUGCAUAAGCACCAUGGUUUCUUCAUUCCCGAUAUCGAGUAUCUCAAGGAUCCUGAAGGGCUUCUCACUUACCUCGGUCUCAAGGUUUGGACUCAUCAAUUUACCAUUCACUGUUCGUUGUUGUCAAGCUUUCAAUUUCUUACUCCUAUUUACUUAUACAUGGCUCAUCACUCAGGUCAAGAGAGACUUCAUGUGUCUAUACUGCAAUGAGCUGUGCCGUCCAUUCAGCAGCUUAGAAGCUGUAAGAAAGCAUAUGGAAGCAAAGAGUCAUUGCAAACUGCAUUAUGGUGAUGGUGAUGAUGAUGAAGAUGCUGAACUAGAAGAGUUCUAUGACUACAGCAGCAGGUUUCAACUCUCUUGUAUCUUUGAUUUUUCUUGUUCUCACCUCUAUUCCUCUUUCUAUGCCAAAUCUUAAUGCACCUUCCAUUGGAAUCUAUGAAUUGAGCAGCUAUGUUGAUGAAGCUGGGAAGCAGAUUGUUGUAGCUGGUGAAACAGACAACACUGUAGAACUUGUUGGGGGUUCUGAGCUCCUGAUCACGGAGAAUUCCGAGAACACAAAAACGUCUAAAACUCUCGGGUCCCGUGAAUUCAUGCGUUACUACAGACAGAAGCCACACCCAACUUCUCAAAACAGCAGCCAGAUAAUGUCCUCUUUAUCUUCAAGGUUUGUUUUCUCCAAACCCAUUAGUCAUCCAAACCUAUUAAACUAGCGAAUCGGCAAGUUAAUUUAAGGUUAUUCUCACAAAUGGCAAAUUCUCAGGUACAAGAGUCUGGGUCUGAAGACGGUACCGUCAAAAGAGGAGACAUUGAGGAUGAAAGUGCGCAAGGAGAUGAGUCAGAGAGGUGAGACAAUGCGUACCAAGAUCGGAGUGAAGAGUAAUGUCAUCAGAAACUUGCCCAAUAAUGUCCCAUAUUAGUUUCUGUCUAUUGUCUAGUGUUGGAUUGAAUGAUGAUUUCAUGUACUUUGAGUCUUUGACCAAGUUGUGUUGGUACUUUGGUAAUAAGAGUUAGCUUUAAACAGAGUAUGUUCACUGAAAUAGAAAAUGUUAAAAUUGCUACACGAACGUUGACUUCUGAUUUACUCUCAAUAUCUACAUUGUUCAGAGAUGCAUGUAAAACAAAGAAGAGACCACGACAAAGGGUACUACAAUAUCCCAAAAAGGCUUUUAGUUUUGUUUUUGUACAAAGGCUGUGGCUGCGAGUAAUGUCACAAGACAAACCUAAAAUAAAUUUAUGUGUAGAAGGAAAAAGAAGAGAGAGAGGUCCAAAACCAAGAACACUGGCUACGAAUAGGUUGGUCUGCUUCAUUCGCUUCGCUUCAUUUUCCAGCUGACUGAGAAAGAAAAGAAACAUAAGAGAUCCACAAGAAGAUAGUACCAAAAGCAUAGAAACAGAAAGUUAAUUACCUAAUUUUCAUAGAAGCGGGUUCGACGCCUUCUUGAACUGCAAACCAGAAAAAAUAUGGCAUCAAGCAAUGUUUCUUAAGUAACCAUCAUAUAUAGCACAAUAAAGCUACUAAACCAGGUCAACACCCUGAGCCACUAUGCCAGAGAUAUCACACAAUAGGACCUGAUUUCGUCAUUUAACCUGGCUCACCGGUAAGCCUCUAAUAUCAAUGCAGAAUAAUCAUAUACUAUGAAACUAAGAAUGUACAUCUCUGCAGAACGAAACAGUAACAAAUUAGUGGUGUAAAGCAAUAGAUGGUUCUGACCUUUGGUGCAUAGAGCUACUUCUGUUAGCUCCACUUGUGCUGAUGAACUCAUCAUCGAUCUCAUCUACUCUAUACUCCGGGAACUCUAUGGAUGCUACUGAGCUGUCAUCAGAGUUGGAGUUUUCAUAGCUAGAGCGGCGACUCCCUCUCCUGCUCUCGCUCAUUCUUGAUCUUCUUCGAUUCCUGGCAUUCCUUAUAUUGUCAAACAUUUGGUACAGAAUACAAGAGGUCCACCAGUUUCCUUCAUUGUUAGGAACAUCCUCAAAUUCAUCUCCAGUGUCAUCAUCUCCAUAUUCGAUCACAUAGUCCCCUAAAACCACUCCUCUUGGAACUUCGGAGUGAAUUGUGCUCAACACGUCGAUUAUUUCAGACGACUGCUGGAAAUUCUCCCAAUCAAGCUUCCGUGCUGGAUCAAUUUCUGAAGGACGAGAAUCCGGAUGCUCUGACUGAGCAUGUUUGCGAAGCUCCAAGUAAGUACCCAUAAACCUGCAUCUUUCUUCCUCACAGCAACGUUUUUUCUCAUCAAGACGGACACGGGCUUCUUCUACAACAAGCCAGCCAGUAACUUCUCCUCUACACAGUGGACAAACGGGUUUGCAACUCUCUUCUAGAACCUUAGAGCGAGGUUCAUCAGGGGCUGGAGGUGAAUCAGUACCACAGGCGCUAAUGAAACGAUCCAAACAGUUAGAGUGAAGGUGAUCAGUAUUGCAGACAAAAGCACGGCAGCCGUUUUCGUAAGAAGAACACUGGAGAAGCACACCAUUGUGAGGGAAAUCCAAACAAAUGGGACAAGUUAAAUCAUCCCAAUUGAGAGUCAACUGAAACUCUUGGCUACAAAAGGUCUUAGCUUGAAGCCGCUUUUCACAAACAUGUAGUUCCAGAGCCAUAAGAUCCGCAAAGGAAACAGAUUAUUCCAACUUAUCGGGAAGGAACUAAGUAUCUAUAAUCAGCAACCCUUGAUGGAAGAAAUCAUUUCCCCGGAAUCUGUUACUUGAUAGUAGCUGCAUAUAUGCAUGUAAAUAAGUAUCCACAAUCUUAAAUCUGCUGCAAAAAUAUGAAUGUAAAAAGACAAUUCGAUAAAUGAUAAAACCCCAAAACCAAUACGAUUCAGUCGCUGGUGAAACACGAAGAACCCAAAAGAGAGUGAGAAUCGGAUUCAAAAUCAAACAAUUUUUAGAAAACCGAUCGCAUAAUCAAGAGCAGAAGAACCCUAGCCAAAUUAGAAACGACAGAUCCAAAUCACCGAAUUGGUAAGCAGUAAGCAAACGAAAUCGAAGAAAAAGAGAACGAAAUCGAAGAAGCUGACCUGAGAUUGAAAGUUACAAAGGAAGUGGAAGAAGGGCGAUGAUGGGGUUUGCUUGUGGGGAUAGUGUAUCGCAGUUGGUAGCCUCCUUUUUCUCUCUCUCUCCUACUCUCUCUCAAUCCCCAUAUCCAUUUUUACCUUUUCAAUACAUUAUUAGAGCUAUUUUUAAUAUCAUUAAUAUUAUUAUCUAAAAUAUUAUGUGACGACUUUUUACUUUCGAGUUUCAAGUAAUAAAAUAUGCUACAGGUUAGUCUUUCAAAAAAAGUACAUAUAAGGUCCGAAUGGUAACCGCGGUUUUUGUUGUGCGGAGAAAGCGGUAUGACAGUGCGGUACGGUUCAACUGCGGUACGUGCGGUAUGCGGAACAAAUGCGGUUUUUGUAAAUAAGCGGUACGAAAUAAUGUUUGAUUGGUAAAAAACAAAAAGCGGUGCGGGAUAUACAUUGUAGUUAAAUAAUUUUAAUUAAACAUUCAAAUAUGUAUAUAUAUAUAUAUAUAUAUAUUAAAUAAAAAAUUUCAUAAUAAACAAUAUGAUACAACAGAAAAAUAUUUUUCGAAUAUUUUUUAACUAAUUAUUUAAAUACAUGUGGUUUUUUAUAAAUAUUUUAAGUAUUUAAACAUAAUUUAAAUAAAUAUGGUGAUACAAUUAUAUAUCAUAUAUUUGAAAAAACCAAUAUGACAAAGAAAUAAAACAAACCAAAAAUAACAUGUAUAAUUAAAUAAAUGGUUAAUACAAGUUCUAUUUUUUAAAUUACACAUAUCUCUAUAGACUGUAGAUACCACAUAACGCAAACACAUCAAAUAGGAUGUGAAUUUACUGUAGCGGGCCAACUACAAUAUUUACAAACAAAAUUGAACCGCACUCACAACCCAAAAAAUAAAAAGAAACGUCCCGCACUUGUAAUAUUUUGUUGAUUGGUAACAUAUCAAUGGGUCCCAUGAAAAACGUCCCGCAGUUCUGAAAUCCGCCGUCUCCAUUCACCCCCUAAAUUUGAAUAUUUGAUUUGCAGCUGAUGACUGGAAAAUAUUUUAUUGUGAUUUAUGAGAAGAAAAUUUCCUACAUCUGAUUUAUAAACUUUUGUUUGUGGUUUAUUUAAUAGGGUUUGUUAGAAUUAUUUGAGCUAUAAUUUUCAAUUCUAUAUCGAGUAAAAAUGAUUUUACUUUAUAUUUGUUAACUAUUGUCUGAGUAACAAAUAUUUUGAUUUAGGAAAUAAAUCAACAAAUUCAUCUUGCAAGCUUUGACUAGUUUUUAUUGUUUUUCUUAUGCUUUUUUUUUUAAUUGGUUUGCUUGAAUAUCAAAUUAUCGAAAUUAAGCAAAACUUCUUUUUUUCCACUUUCUUAUUAAACUCGUUAAAAUAAAAAUAAUAAUAAAUUUUUGACAAACAAAAGAAGAUUGGAAUUAAAAAUUCUAAGUUUGUUGUAUUUGACAGUUAUUUCUUAGUGGAGUAAUAAUUCCCAAAAACAAACAAAAGAUAAAGGGUAAAAACGAUCGCUAAAAUAGGGUCCGGGUAACCAGCCCAUUAAUUCAAAUUGGGCUUAACUUAAGGCCCACGUGAAAUAAAUGGAAACUAGAAAAAAGGAAAGUUAUGUUAACUAAAAAAAGGAAACUAGGCGUUACAAAAAAAAAAAAGGAAAUCAGCCAGCUGGCACCGCCGUGAGUAGUGUUUUAUAAAAAGGGGAAAGCUUAUCAGAGAGAGUCAGAAUUUGUUUUGCCUUCUUCUUUCUCUGUUUGUCAUAUUUCUCUCGAUCGCUAUAUCAUAACAUCAUAACGGAAGACGAUUUGUAGAAUGUAAGAAUUCUUCCGAUUCUCUUGAUUUCUAGGGUUGUUUUAUAUUUUAACUAUUAAUCAGUUCUUUCUCUGUUUCGCAUGUUUCUCUCUAUCGGAUCAUUCAUGAUCGAAGAAGUUUUGUAGCGAUAAUCACUGUAAGAAUUCUUCUCUCUUGAUUUCUAGGGUUACUAAACUUCAUUAUUAUCAGUUUUUUUUUUUUGUUCUGUUCUUUUGGUUUUCUGUUCGUUUUGAAGCGGCUUGGAUAAUUUGAAAACCAAACGAAUCGCGACUCUGCGUUUCAAAGUUUUCUGAGAAUUAUUACAAGUUCGUUCUUCUUCUUUUUUUGUGUUACUUGAUUCUGUUUAAGAGGGUUUGGUUUCCGUUUUUUGUUUUGCUUUUGUAGCGCUUUCGAUACUUUGAUAAAGCGUGAAAUUGUUGCGAUCGGUUGUGGUUUAUUGCUCUGCGUUUUUCUGUUUUGUUUUUGUUAGAUUUCUUCCUUGUUUUGUUUUUUUUUCAAAAUCCAAGAGAGAUCAUAUGCAGACACUCAACUAUUAGUGUUCUGUCAGAUUCUUUCUUGGGGACAUUGUCCCGUCGAGUUGGCUUAUGAGGGAUUUUUGACCUGAGACUGAAAACCGAUCCUUUACCCACGGCUUAUUAUUUUGACAAAUAUACUUGGGAUUGGUUUCAGGUUACUGGUCAAAGAUCAAGUUACCCACGGCUUAAAAAAGUCUUUAGACAGAGACUUGAGUUUCCAAAAAACCAAUCCUUUAGACAAAACACUGGAUUGGGUUAUGUUUGGUGCAAGGAAAAUGGUACCAUACGGCUUAAAACUUUAGCCUUUAGACUGAGACUUGAGACUGAACAUUGAUCCUUCUUGGUACCCACGGCUUGAAAAUCUCUAGACAUAUGGAUCAUGUUCGGUUUCUUGUUUCAGUCUAUAGACAAAGAAAUAGUUACCCACGGCUUAAAAAAAGUCUUUAGACAGAGACUUGAGGUUCUAAAAACCAAUCCUUUCGACACAAGAUUGGAUUGGGUUAUGUUUGGUGGAAUGAAAAUGGUACCCACGGCUUCAAACUUUAGUCUUUAGACUGAGACUGAUUCUGAACUUUGAUCCCUUCUUGGUACCCACGGCUUUAAAAUCUUUAGACAUAUGGAUCAUGUUUGGUUUCUUGUUUCAGUCUUUAGACAAAGAACAGUUACCCACGGCUUAAAAAGUCUUUAGACAGAGACUUGAGGUUCUAAAAACCAAUCCUUUAGCCAAAAGAUUGGAUUGGGUUAUGUUUGGUGGGAUGAAAAUGGUACCCACGGCUUCAAAAUUUAGUCUUUAGACUGAGACUGAUUCUGAACACUGAUCCUUCUUGGUACCCACGGCUUGAAAAUCUCUAGACAAUAUGGAUCAUGUUCGGUUUCUUUUUUCAGUCUUUAGACAAAAAAAUAGUUACCCACGGCUUAAAAAUUGUCUUUAGACAGAGACUUGAGGUUCUAAAAACCAAUCCUUUAGACACAAGAUUGGAUUGGGUUAUGUUUGGUGGAAGGAAAAUGGUACCCACGGCUUCAAACUUUUGUCUUUAGACUGAGACUGAUUCUGAACUUUGAUCCCUUCUUGGUACCCACGGCUUGAAAAUCUUUAGACAUAUGGAUCAUGUUUGGUUUCUUGUUUCAGUCUUUAGACAAAGAACAGUUACCCACGGCUUAAAAAAGUCUUUAGACAGAGACUUAAGGUUCUAAAAACCAAUCCUUUAGCCAAAAGAUUGGAUUGGGUUAUGUUUGGUGGAAGGAAAAUGGUACCCACGGCUUCAAACAUAAGUCUUUAGACUGAGACUGAUUCUGAACAUUGAUCCUUCUUGGUACCCACGGCUUGAAAAUCUCUAGACAUAUGGAUCAUGUUCGGUUUCUUUUUUCAGUCUUUAGACAAAGAAACAGUUACCCACGGCUUAAAAAAGUCUUUAGACAGAGACUUAAGGUUCUAAAAACCAGUCCUUUAGACACAAGAUUGGAUUGGGAUAUGUUUGGUGGAAGGAAAAUGGUACCCACGGCUUCAAACUUUUGUCUUUAGACUGAGACUUAUUCUGAACAUUGAUCCCUUCUUGGUACCCACGGCUUGAAAUGUUUUAGACAUAUGGAUCAUGUUCGGUUUCUUGUUUCAGUCUUUAGACAAACAUCAAGUUACCCAUGGCUUAAAAAAGUCUUUAGACAGAGACUUGAGGUUCUAAAAACCAAUCCUUUAGACAAAAGAUUGGAUUGGAUCAUGUUUGGUUAAAGGAAAAUGGUACCCACGGCUUCAAACUUUAAUCUUUAGACUGAGACUGAGACUGAACAUUGAUCCUCCUUGGUACCCACGGCUUUAAAAUCACUAGACAUAUGGAUCAUGUUCGGUUUCUUGUUUCAGUCUUUAGACAACAGUUACACACGGCUUUAAAAAUGACGUCUUUAGACAGAGACUUGAGGGACAAAACACUGGAUUGGGUUAUGUUUGGUGCUAGGAAAAUGGUACCAUACGGCUUAAAACUUUAAGUCUUUAGACUGAGACUUGAGACUGAACAUUGAUCCUUCUUCGUACCCACGGCUUGAAAAUCACUAGACAUAUGGAUCAUGUUUGGUUUCUUGUUUCAGUCUUUAGAUAAAGAAACACCCACGGCUUAAAACAUUAUAAGUCUUUAGACAGAGACUUAUAAUUUUAAACAAUGGAAACUUGUAUAAUAAAUAUACAAGACGAUGUUAAUCUAACCGGAUUUUGGAUCCCGUCAUUGAUCGUUAGCGAUUCCACAAAUUCAACUUGUUUUCACAUCCUUAUGUAGAUUUAGCAUACAAGUUUCUGUUGAAAAAAAUAAAUACAAGAUUCUUAUGUUGGUUGAUGGAAAAUGGUACCCACAGCUUCAAACUUUGGACUGAGACUUGAGACUGAACAUUGAUCCUUCUUGGUACCCACGGCUUGAAAAUUUAUAGACAUAUGGAACAUGUUUGGUUUCUUUUUUCAGUCUUUAGAGUUUAGAGCAUCCACAAUGGUGCAUGUGGGAGUAUGGGUGUGAGUGGUGAUUUAUUAAUAAAAUAAUGUAAGGGUGUGAAGAUUGAGUGCUGAUUUAUUAAUAAAAUAAUGUGGGAGUAUGGGUGUGAGUGGUGAUUUUUCUAUGUCAAAAAAUCGGAACCAACAAAACAAAGACACAUGUCCCUCACAACCGAGUGUAAACUAACACUCGAAUACCAACUCCAAACUUACUGUUCUCUUAUUUGUGUAUAUUUUAAUAGUCACACCCACACAAAAAAUAGAUCGUUGUGUAUGGUCUUAGAGAAAGAAACAGUUACCUACGGAUUAAAAAAGUCUUUAGACAAAGACUUGAGGUUCGAAAUAACCAAUCCUUUAGACAAAAGAUUGGAUUGGGUUAUGUUUGGUUGAAGGGAAAUGGUACCCACGGCUUCAAACUUUAGUCUUUACUCUGAGGCUUGAGAUUCGAACAUUGAUCCUUCUUGGUACCCACGGCUUGAAAAUCUGUAGACAUAUGGAUCAUCUUCGGUUUAUUUUUUCAGUCUUUAGACAAAGAAAUAGUUACCCACGACUUAAAAAAGUCUUUAGGCAGAGACUUAAGGUUCUAAAAACCAAUCCUUUAGACACAAGAUUGGAUUGGGUUAUGUUUGGUGGAAGGAAAAUGGUACCCACGGCUUCAAACUUGGAAAAUGGUACCCACGGCUUCAAACUUUUGUCUUUAGACUGAGACUUAUUCUGAACAUUGAUCCCUUCUUGGUACCCACGGCUUGAAAUUUUUUAGACAUAUGGAUCAUGUUCGGUUUCUUGUUUCAGUCUUUAGACAAACAUCAAGUGACCCAUGGCUUAAAAAAGUCUUUAGACAGAGACUUGAGGUUCGAAAAAAGCAACCUUUAGACAAAAGAUUGGAUUGAGUUGUGUUUAGUGGAAUGAAAAUGAUACCCACGGCUUGAUCUACAAGAUGAUGUUAAACUAACCGGAUUUUGGAUCCUGUCAUUGAUCGUUAGCGAUUCCACAAAUUCAACUUGUUUUUGCAUCGUUACGUAGAUUUAGCAUACAAGAAUCCAUUGAAAACAAAAAACAUACAAGUUUCUUAUAUUUUAAGAAAAGAGUUCCAAUUUGUUUCCAUACGUUUAGUUACGAAGCUUGUAAAAGGGUUCGUAGAUGUGUGGAUUAGUGUACAAUUUGUAUGAAUACAUGGUUCAAUUUUUAAGAUUAGAAAGAUCAGUUAGGAUCAAAGGAAGAUUAAAGGGGAUAAUGGAAGAUUCAAGAUUGAAAGCAGAAAAGGAGAGGUCAAUCAAAAUAAAAGAAUAUAUGUUGCUCUUUUUGUUUGUUAUGGGAUCAGCCAAUCAAUAUUUCACCCACUUGCUAAUAUGUAAAAGACAGACAAAAAGAGUAACAGUGAAGAUGAUGGUUGUGAUGUAAUGAAAUCUAUGCCGUUUAAGAAAAGAGAGUAUCAAUUAGCUGAGCUUUGUAAACUAAGAAUGAACAAGUUCCAAAAUAAUUAGAUCCAAAAGAUCUUCCAAUGGAGCUUGGUUGUGAAAAUGCUAACUGAGAUUUCUCCAACAUGCACCCAUUGUUGCAAAAGCUUUCCCUGCGAUUUUAUACAAACAUACAAACAAAAUGUCACCAUAAUGUAUGAAUGUUUGUUCACCACGACAAUGGUUUUAGGUUCUUUACCUCGUGGUAUCGAGUAACCAUGUGGCUAUGCCUUUUCUUCUGUUAGAAGGUGAGACCCAAAUCGCUCUAAUCCCACAAACAGCCGGUUUAGCUUCUUCCUCGCAUACUAUUGCUCCGCAGUCUAAUCUAUCAUCUGAUGCUCGACAUCUUUUAGAUACUUCUCUUUGUAACACAAUGUUUCCAAACUGAAUGGAGGUUGAAGGCGAGGAGGUGCUCUCUUUUUGUAACUGUCUUUCAUCAUCAGGAGAAGGUAUGAGCUUAAAUGCUUCCUUAAUUGGUUCUGCAACUAGACAUCCAGAGAUCCUCUGAGAGGAUAUGAAUAGAUAAACCUACACAUAACAAGGUAGUUCUUGAAAUAACUGAGGAAAGUAAUUACAGGUUAUAUCAUCUUUCUUGUGAAUUUGUUGAAUGAUGCCAUAUAAAGAAAUUAAAGAAACUCCUCUUUUCAGGGAAUCAGAUUUCUUGUUUGAUUUCAAUGCUAGUCAUAGACAUGGAAGGAAUCAGACUAAGUCGAAGUUUUCCUCUUUUAAGUUGACCAUAGUAGAGCAAGUAUUCACCAUGCUUCCCAACAAGUUGUAUCAAAUGCCAAUUGGCUCAAUAUAGUAGACAUCAACAUACUAAAAAACACUCAUGAGCUAUGGAAUAUAUCCGCAAAUGACUGUUAAGACGUGGAAACAGGCUCAUACCUUACAAUGUUGGUGAAGAAUCCAAUCCUCACCUAACUCGACUUCCAUCAUUUUCACAACCUCUUGCACCUGCAAUUACAAAAGAUCCAUCGUUUAGGUCCUCUAAACGAAGAACCGGUACCAUAAACAGGGCAAGUUGAAUUGUGAAAAGAAUGGACCUUGUUUCUAUGUGCAGGGGAAUCAUUUUCUGAAACCAUAAUGAUGCGGUUCUUGUUGAACGAAGGCGAUGUGAACGCUUUCUCGUUCUGCCAACCCUGAGACCAAUUCAAAAAAAACAACAAUCAAUCUAAUAACCUCUACAAUAAUCAAAGAAACAGCUAUCUUCUUGAGCUUAAAAUGGGAUCCUAACCUUAAAAGGGAGUCCAUACAUAUAGUCCUUGUGAAAACUUUGAUGGUUCUUCUCGUCUAAUUCAUCUCCAGGAGCAUACUUAGCUCCACAUUGUGGGCAAUGUCUGAGAAGAAAAUCAGAUUGGCCCAACUCUAAGUGGAAUUGCGUAUAAUUGCGCUUCUUUUUGAGAUUUUUAGGUACAGAGGAAGAUCCUUUCUUCAGUGGCUUCCCGAUGCAUCCUUUAAGCACUUGACUUCUGAAUACCCAAAAAUAAGUGACACACAAACAGAAACCCAAUUAAUAAUGGCUGCAAGAUUAAAUCAAAGGGAUUUGCUUUAAGAAAACCCAGAAAAUCAGGGUCGCUUAUUUUCGAUUCAUCUGAAGAAAACAAAUAAUGUAGAAAUUCUCGAAGAACCUAAAGAGAAGAAAAACCGCCAAAGAUGAUCGAUUUACCUAUCGGGAAUCGCAGAUCGACGCUGGUAGGUGUUGACGAUGGCGUUCCGAUUGUUCUCCCAGACAGCUAAACCAUCGUCUGCGUCUGUUGUUACUGAGGCAGCGAUAGAAGAAGAAGAGGGCUUGAAGAAAGAAUUGAUUUUUGCUUGCAUCGUACAGAGAGAGCUCGAAUCCUUCUUAGGUCUGUGUUUGUUUUCCCCUUUACUUCUCUGAUUUUGGCGCCUAUGGAUUGAAUUUUUUGGCGCUAAUGAAAUUUUUUUGUUUUUUGCCGAUUCCUACCUAAACUUAUGUAAACCAAAGAAACCAGAAAAUGACAUUGGAUAAUUGAUGGGCCAUUUUGUGUAAUUGCAUAACUCAAGAUCAUUCCAAUUUAGUUCCAACGCCAUAAGUGGAAAAAUACGGCAUGUGAGGCCAGGAGACAAUUCAUUCGAGUCCAGAUUGUGAAUCAGUGUUGUGUUGUGAGAACAUUACAGCUUUGAUUUGAUGACGUCGAUUGAUGUUUGGAUAUCCAACUACAUUAGACAACGUCCAAAAUAAAAAAGAGCAGCAAGUGAAGUAUAGUUUGUGUGUGUUUUUUAUAUAAUUACAUGUAUGGAUUGGUGUAUAACAACAAUGUGUGCAUCGAUAUUAAUCUACGCUUUUCUUCUCCAUCUACUCCCUGUACUAUAUUUACCUCUUUCCUCUUCAAAAAGAGCCAAAAAAAGUAAGUGAGAAGCCGAUUCAUCAUCUGUCUGAUAACACCGAGUUGCUCCAUGACAACACAAAAUCUCGGAAAACAUUCGGUAAAUCUGCAUUCAAAACACAAGGAACCAAAUUCUUCAGAAUCAUACAAAACUACUUGCUAACUGCUAGCUAAAUCAAUGGCCCAAGGUGAAAUUUUUGCCCAUCGGUGCUUUCAUGUCUUGUUAUGUUAAGAAUGCAUAUCUGUGAUAGUCUUUUCUCUCCACAAGGCUUUAUUUGGUGCAAAAGCUUUUAUUAUUUGAAUGAUAGAUGAAGACAAAAUUAAAAGAAAGAAAGCAAAAUGGGGUUUUCCCUUUCUAUUACCUCGCACGACUUCCAUGGCCAGUGUGGGAAUAUCUACUUCGUCUUCAACCAAUCUGUAUACGUCCACAAGCUGAAAGAACAAAUGUAAAGUUAGUGCUUUAGAGUGUCAAUGGGGAUGAUAAGUGCUACAGAUAUAAAUCUGGUUGACGUGAGAUGUAUGAACAAACCUCUUCUACGUGAAGCUUCGAGUCCUCUGUGAGCGCAAGAAUAAGUUUCCUGCGGAUGCCUUCGUCAAGGAGGAAAAGACGAGCUCCGUCCUUAAUGGUAUCUGUCAAGUCAAGCUUACUCUCCCUGAAAGUUUCAUGAGUAAAAUACGGAUUUAGAAUUCAAGCUUCCCAGGGUGAACGAGUGAGAGAUUUUGGGAGCAAUGCUUAUAUAGAACUCGGUUACUUACACACGCUUUACUCGUAGAUUAGGAUUGCUACUCAUUUUGGCAACGUUUUCCUUUGCAAGUGAUAAAAGGUUUUCCAGCCUUUUCCAUUGGAAAACACCAUCUUUGAAUAGAACCUGAAAUGCGGUGGCAACAAGAGCUCUGAUUUCAGCUGAUGCGGAUAACAGUUCACCAUAGCAUAUAUGAAACUAAAUCAGAAUUAUCAAUCAACCUGUAUCAAGCGUUCCCGAAGUGCAGGAUUUGGAUCCGUUAGGAGCCGUUUUGCUACAUAUGGAUAAGCAACCUAGAUAAAAAGUUAGCUUUUAGUGUGGAAAGGGAAAUAUGGGUGAACAUAUAGCUAGUGUCUGCUCACUUCAGGAUUUACAUGUCAGCUAAAUCCUAAAUUUGAAAAGAAAAAAAUCAAAAUAUUAAACGUGACUUCACCUCUAGAAAUUUAAAAUCAGGCUUCAGCGUGAAACAUAUACCCUCCUGAGUAAGCAGAGAACGAAUAACAAGAGAGAACCGCUCCGGGAUACGGAUGGGAAAGUCGUACACAAGCUUGUUAAAUUGGCCUGCAAUGAAAAACGUGACACCAUUUCUUCAUAUGUGCAAGGGGUGCUCAGUAAACAAAAGAAACUUGCUUAAGGAAAGCAAUCUAUCAAGUACCUGUAACACUACGGAAAUUGAAAUCUGCAAGUCCUUUCCCUGCAGAGUUCUGCCAUAUGGCUUCUAAAGCUGGAACGAUAGGAGAAACAUCAGUAUCCUUGGCCAAGAACCCAAGCCUAGUGAAAUCAUUUGCCAUCUCCCCAUAGUCCUCAUUAACCGCAUGGACAACAGCAUCAAUCAAAAUUUGCUUGUUUUGCUGAGAAAAAAAAAAAGAUUUACUUUGGACUAUGAAUAACAAGUCUCUAUAUACAGAUGUGAUAAUCACUAUAGGAAGGGACAUAACCUAGCUACUAAAGGUUACUAGAUACCGUGGAACCAUUAAACUCAAGUUACCUGACUCAGUACAGCAACAUUACCGAAGUCCACAUAAGCAAUACGCCCAUCUUGCAUUGCAAAGAUAUUUCCAGGAUGUGGAUCUCCAUGGAACAAUCCAAAUUCUAACAGCUGCCUUAAAGCAGCACUUACGCCAACAGUCAAGAAUCCAUUUAAAUCAAUCCCCGCAUCCUUGAUGGCCUGAGUACAUUUAGUAAGAGUCAGUAUCAGAGUGGACUUUAAUUUUGACUUUUUAGGAGGGUAUAGAGGAAAUUUAUGUUGGCCCCCUUUUUGAAAGUCAACCUGUGGGUCAGUGCACCGAAUACCAUCAAUCCACUCCAUUACCAGAACCCGAGGACCACAAAGAUUCUUGUAUACUCCAGGAAUUUUGACUGUGGGGUCAUCUUUGAAGUUCUCCAGAAAGUCUUCAAUGUUUCUGGCUUCCUGUAGGCAAGAACUUAAGGUUAACCAGGAUUAUAUAAAGACUCAUCAUUUCAGAUCAUCAACACAGAAGAACGCAUAGAGUGAAAUUGAGAAGUAUAUGAGAUACCAAGGUGUAGUCAAGCUCCUCCAGAAGCUUUUCUCCAAAUUCAUCAACUAUUAGCUCUGCGUUGCAACCCAGUUUCUGUAGACUAAAGCCAUUUAAGAAUGAGGCGAGGGUUCGGAAAAGAAAGAGAUCCCGGUAAAUUAUGGGCUCUAUUUGUGGUCUCUGCACCUGCAUAUGCAUAAAAAAAAAAUGUCAAAUCCAACCUUUAAAACAGUUUCAGUUUGAUAAGCCUGUAUGAACUCUGUAGCCACAGUAUAAGUUUCCAUUUAGAAGAACCUUGAUAGCAACAUCCUCUCCAGUGGCACGUAGAGUAGCUCGAUAAACUUGUCCCAAGCUUGCAGCUGCUAUUGUUUCUGAAGAAAUCUUGCUAAAUAUGGCCUCAAGAGGUUGGCCUAACUCUUCCUCGAUGAUAUUGAAAGCAACCUACAAAGUCCUUCACCACUUAGCUUCACACGACAAUGGCAAAUGAUAAUAAGAAAAAUAUCUUGCUCUACAAAUUCCCCAAAAAGAUAAGACAUUUUACCUCGUUGGGGAAUGGAGGAACAUCAUCUUGGAGAAUGCAGAGCUCGUUCAUGUAGUCUUCACGGAUGAUAUCAGGCCUAUUUGCCAGAACCUGCCCCCCCCAUGUAACAGAUAUUAGAGAAGAUAACUUUGAGAACCCGGUUAAUGCCAUUUUCUAACAAAUAAGAUGGAUCCACAUACUUGUCCAGCUUUGAUAAAUGAAGGCCCCAAGUUGCACAAAAGGUUCCUAAGCUGGCGAGCACGAAAGGGGACAACUUCCUCGUCCCUUCCAACCAAAAAAUCAUACAUUAAGGUAGACCAAUACAACCCAAGAGUCCAAACAAUCUCCACACCCCUUGAAACUAGAGAGACGACUGCUCCUCUUGAUUCCAGCACUUUACUCCUCACCUGAUCACCAGUAAAUUCCAAUUCAAACAAUCAACAACAACAUAGAUUCCACCUAAGACACAAGACUCAAGUAAAUGCCAAGAAGAACCAGCUCAAUAAGUGAAUCAACAAAUUGCAACAGAGCUAAAAGAAAUUGAAAUUGACUGAAACUAACGCAUAAAUCGAGCUAGAAACAGAAACAGGUUAAAGAAGCAAAUCAUACAGUCUCCGGAGAAUACUUUCGGAAUGGAACGCAAACGCCUCGCUCGAUAUCCAGCUGCUCAAGCGCGGAGUUCGAUUUCCCUACUCGAAUACCUCUCUCCACCCCGCUCAUCGCCGUUGUCAUUACCGAAGCAUCCGUCGAAUUUCGACCACCAACAUCCGUCGCCGCCGCAGUAACUGAAAAAUUAGAAGUCCGUACAGCCGAGAACGUCCUGCUCCGCCGCAACUCCACGGCGUUGAGAGAUCGCAAAAGAGCAUCUCUCCGAUCAAGAAGAGCGCGAUUUAUUCUCCGAUGACGCUGAUUUAAGGAGAAAUUAGGGUUUACUAAACUAUUGCAGUGGAUUGACUCCAUGGAUGAUGAGCUACGGAGGAUGAUGAGCUACGGAGAAGCGAACAGUGGAUACGUUUCCGUUGGACGACAAACUAUUAAUUACCGAAAAUGGAAUAAAUCGACUACCAACCACAUAAGAUAAUAAUUAUUUUUUGUUUUUAUCUUUUAUUUCCUGGAAAGUAAAAGAACCUUAUCUUCAAAAAGCCACAAUAGAUGUAAUCUGUAGCAAAUCGACCCCAAAACUUUUUGUUGUUUCUUUCUACAUCCCACUUUUUUUUUUGUUGGUUUGUAUACGAUACGUGAUAGUAUUUGGCGUCAAGCAGAGAAGAAGCUGCGAUCGAGGAAAGUCUUGUGUGGCCAAGAAAGGUGCAACGUUUUGGCAACUAAACAAUACAUGUUCGUAUGGUAAUUGACUACUUACAAUUGAAUGAAUGAUAUUAUACCAACGGAUACUAAUAUUUAACAACAAAAUUACCAUUAUUAAUUUGAUAAUUAAAACUUUUUUUUUUUUUUUUUUUUUUUUUUUAAAUAUUUUAUUAAAACCACCCUAACGGGCUUGGGCCGAAGCCUACACACAAACCAAUCCAGUUACAAAAAGGUAAAUCGGCAUCUCGCCGGAAAAAGAAGAAAAGCUCGCCCCUUGUUGAUAGACGCUCGUAGAGCAACCGGAGCCUUAAAUCUGGCAGAUUCAAGACCCACCGCUUCGUGGCCGCGUCAGAAAAUCGACUACCACCGACGGAAGAAUCUGGUUUCCGUCAGAAGAGUCUCUCCUCCGACGCACCAACCCGCCACAAGCCUCCCAGAAAGCUAGUCACUCCAACGCAGCGCAUCGACGGAGUCGGAUCCCGACCUAGCAACCCGACCCACUGGGAGGUAACCCUUUUCUCCCAAAACCGGUAACACCAAAAAACCUGAAUCUUCACGCAUCGAUCCGGACCGGUGGAGACCAGAAGCGGCGGAUCUAGAGAACGUUGGCUCGCCGUGAACCUCUAAACCCGAACCCCGCAUCAGCCCUCUAAGAUCCAAACAGAUCCACAGCUAACCACCGCGUCGGACAACGAACCCCCCUUAUCCCCUCCAACUUCCGCCGUGGACGCAGCAACUAGAUCGACGGGUGAGCCUGAGGCGCAUUGCAGCAUCUCCCGGCGUCCUCAACCGCGAGACCACCGCUGCAAAACUCCUCAUCCGUCAGAACCAGGGCCACAACCACAUCAGAGAGGAAACACCACACCGCCGUUGACGGAGAUACGCUCCGACUCACUCCUGGACCGCCUUGGAGAAGCCUCGAACCGAAGAUUGAAGAGCAGAACGGAACGAAAGAACCCUAGAUCUGGUUGCCGGAAAUCGUCUUCAAGAGAGAGAGAAAUGCACAGCUAUCGAGGCAACGAUUGGGCCGUAUCUCUUGAUAAUUAAAACUUACUCGAAUCUUUUUUUAGGUUUUAUAACAAUGA
rnacentral:lncRNA from 1 species